rnacentral:lncRNA from 1 species
UUUUUUUUUUUUUUUGCCGUUAUUUAAUUUGAACCACACUAAGAAGAGAGAGAGUGACGAAGAAAUUGUAGUGUGUGGUAGGUUGGAGUUGGGCCCUAUAAAAAGAGUGGGGGAGCAGCGUAAAUCCUGAAAUGUCUCGGGGACACAACUCAGCAGCCUCACACAGUCACACACACUUGGCGCUUGGUUGCAUUGUUCCCACAUAACCCCAAAAUCGCCAGCGAAGCAUUCAGUGGAGAAUAUAUUCCGGAGAAAACACAUUUAAACGAUCAAAUAAAAAAAUACAAAAUACAAAAAGAUACAAAAAUAAAAGCCAAGCACCGUUGCUUUCUCUCCAUUAGGGAGAGAGAGAGCAGAAAGCAAGCGAACAAGAAAGGGAGAGUAGGCCGCGGAGGAGGCUGAGGAUUGUAACAAAAGGAGCAGAGACGCCGUUUUGAUUCAACGUCGUCGGCGGCGGCAUUGUUGUAAUUCUCAUGGACCAAUAUGUUUGGGAAACGAUUUUGGCGGUGGCGUUAGGUUUUGUGGCCGUGUAUGGAAUUCUGGCCAGAAAUGCUAAUGCUCGCCGGAAAAGUUUUGGUAAAGGUGGGGCGGAGGAUAGGGAGCCUCGUGCCACCGCCGCCACCACCCCCAUUGAUGGUAUAUUUAGAUCCAAGAACAACGACGCCUCCGACGAUGCAGACGUCAUUAUCGUAGGCGCCGGCGUCGCUGGCGCCGCUCUCGCUCACACUCUCGGGAAGGUAGUAUGAAAAUUUUCCUCGUCUUCGUCGCCUUAUGUUAUAGAAUUAUUGUUAUAUAUAUAUGUGUGUGUGUGUCUGUAUAUAGUACUGCAUGAAUUCAGCGAUUUUUGUAAUGAGAGUUUAUUUGAGUGCGUGUUUGUAUUUCAGGUGAAUAAGACUGUGAUAUUGAUGACAAAAAUGCAUGCUAAAAAAAAUGAAUGAAAUAGGAAAAGGAAGAUUAUAGAUUGAUCUAGGAGUUGCGUUACUUUUUUCUUUUGCUUUUUUUUUUUUUUCGUGCUGUGCAUUUAAGAAUCUAAACACUAACUGACUAUAUUGUUUAUUAACUAAUUUUUCUGUUGAUGCAACUUAUCUAAUAGCAGUGUAAUUUUUUUUUCAAAAAAUUAUUUGUUUUUCAGGUGCGGCCGUUGUCAAUCUCAUUUUACGGGUUUAAAUCUGGUUUUCUUCUUUUCAUUAUUCGUUUCAAUUUUAUUGAUGUUUGGGCUUGUGAUCAGCGUUGUUUUGCGAGUUUAACUUAGCAGGACAAAGCCUUCUUUAGGUUUGAGAUCACAUCUAUGAUUGUUGAUUAUCGCAUAUUUGCCAUUUUGUGGUCUUCUGUGCAUGCGUGACGUCAAUAGGUUUUUGUAAAGCUUAAUUAUAUUUCUUACUGUGGUCCUUUUAAAAAAAAAUUGGAUGCAAAACAAUUGAACUUUGAAGUUUUGUCAUGGGCUUAAAGGAGGAAGUAGAAAAUUACCUAUUAAGCAUAUUCACUUUUCAUAUUGGCCUGCAGGAUGGACGUCGGGUGUAUGUAAUCGAAAGAGACUUGUCAGAGCCUGACCGGAUUGUAGGAGAGCUGCUCCAGCCGGGCGGCUAUCUCAAGUUGAUUGAACUGGGACUAGAAGGUAAAGUUUGCAGAACUAAUAGAAAAAUGUUGUCCUGAUAUUGAAUUGAGUGUAAUGCUUUGAGCUAAGUAGGGUCAACUAUUGCAACAUUUGACAUUAGAAGCCUCAUCUUUGCCCAUUUAGUGUAGAAUUACUGAAGCAGAUUUUUUUUUUUUUUUAACCUCGACUACAGAUUGUGUGGAGGGAAUUGAUGCACAGCGAGUCUUCGGAUACGCUUUAUUCAAGGAUGGUAAAAGGACUCGUGUGGCUUAUCCCUUGGAAAAAUUUGACUCUGAUGUUUCUGGCAGGAGCUUUCACAAUGGCCGCUUCAUUCAACGCAUGCGAGAGAAAGCUGCAUCUCUUCCCAAGUAUACUCUACUCUUGCUCUUGUACUUGGUGGUUGUUUAGUAUGUUUCCUGCAGUUUUAGUCAUAAAGUUAGAAGUGGCAAUUUCUGUAUUGCUGAUUGAGGAUACAUGUGCUUUAAAUUCAACAAGAAUCUUUAGAAGAUCUGAAUACAUGAAAAAUGAUUUAGUUAAGUUGGUGGCUGAUAGCACGGAAGCAUGUUAGUAUCUUAGAAGAGUCUUUUUCACCCUUUUUUUUUUAUGGUUUUUUACUUUUAUGGAUCUGAUUUUAAAUAUCAUACAGUGUUCGCUUGGAGCAAGGAACAGUGACUUCUCUUCUGGAAGAAAAAGGGGUUAUCAGAGGCGUGCAAUACAAAACAAAAUCUGGUGAAGAAUUGAUCAAGUAUGCACCUCUCACUGUUGUAUGUGACGGUUGCUUUUCAAAUUUAAGACGCUCUCUUUGUGAUCCUAAGGUGUGGAUGGCUUAGAAGCUCUCUUUAUUCUCAUUUAGUUAUCAAUAGCUGAUUAGUCUUCUCUGUCUUUCUCAUACUGUGAAUUACUUGAGGACAACAAAUCAAGUUGGUUGGUGUUUUACAUUUUUCGAACACUGAUGUCUCUGCCAGGUAGACGUCCCUUCUUGUUUUGUUGGCUUGGUUUUGGAGAACUGCCAACUUCCUUUUGCAGAUCAUGGCCAUGUUGUUCUAGCAGACCCGUCACCUAUUUUGUUCUAUCCAAUCAGCAGCACAGAAGUUCGCUGUCUGGUUGAUGUACCUGGUCAAAAGGUACCAUCUAUUUCAAAUGGUGAAAUGGCCAAAUAUUUGAAGACAACAGUGGCUCCACAGGUAGCACUAGGACAUAAAGUUUGAAUUUUAUUGUUGUUAUUUUUUUUGGGUGUACAAGCUUCAGUCUACUCUUAUCUCAAGGAACAAUAUGCUAUAUAGAUUGUGAAACUUCUAUCAUCUAACUAUUCCCUUUCUCACCAUCUUCUUGUAGGUCCCUCAUGAAUUGCAUGAUGCAUUUAUUGCUGCAAUUGACAAAGGAAACAUUAGGACCAUGCCCAACAGAAGUAUGCCAGCAGCUCCUCAUCCUACCCCUGGGGCUUUGCUAUUGGGAGAUGCAUUCAACAUGCGACACCCUUUGACUGGAGGAGGAAUGACAGUGGCUCUGUCUGAUAUCGUUGUACUACGUGAUCUUCUCAGACCUCUUGGCGAUCUGAAUGAUCCACCUACCCUUUGCAAGUAUCUAGAAUCAUUUUACACCUUGCGUAAGGUACAUUUAAUUAAGUUCAGGACUUGUUUUGGUCAUCAAUAUGGAAAACAAUUGAGCAAUAUUGAUCCAAUGAAUAUUGAGUCUUUCCAUAAUAUUCAAAAUUUUCCUUAGUGAUUUGAUUUUGACAUUGAACAGAGGAAAUGCAUUUUAUGACGUUUUCAUGCAUUUGUCUUCCCACACCCAAAUUCAAUGUUUUUGUUUGCAGCCUGUGUCAGCCACCAUCAAUACGUUAGCUGGUGCCCUCUAUAAAGUGUUUUGUUCAUCUUCUGAUCAAGCAAGGAAAGAGAUGCGUCAGGCAUGCUUUGACUAUUUGAGCCUUGGAGGUGUUUUCUCAAAUGGACCAGUAUCUCUACUUUCUGGUCUGAACCCUCGCCCAUUAAGCUUGGUGUGCCAUUUCUUUGCGGUGGCGAUAUACGGUGUUGGCCGCUUGUUGCUGCCUUUUCCCUCACCUAAGCGUAUGUGGAUUGGAGCAAGAUUGAUAUCAGUGAGUAUCUGAUUCUUUCUGUCAUUAAUUUCUCUUAAUCGAUUAAUAUAUCUGAUUGAAAACUAUUUCUAUUCUCAAUGCCAUAUUCUAAAUUUCAAGCUCACCUCUGCAGAGUGCAUCGGGAAUUAUUUUCCCGAUUAUCAAGGCUGAAGGAGUGAGGCAAAUGUUCUUCCCCGUUACCGUUCCUGCAUAUUAUAGAGCACCACCUGCUAAGUGAGGUUGUCCAGCAAAUGCUAAAACACUAAACUCCUCCAUUGCAAUUAUCACAUUCAAGUUUGUCCGCGGUUGCAAUCCGAUGUUCAAAGUUAGAGGAAAGCGGAUGCUUUUAUAAACUGGUGUGAAUUGUGAUAUAUUUUUUGUUCCUAGGUCUUUUUGUAUCUCAUUGUAUUUGUCCUUUUUUUUCUCAACCGUCUCAAGUAAACAGAAUUUUUUUUUUUGUGUUUUUUUGUUCUCUUUGGCGAUUUAAUUGCUUUGUAAAUAACUGGGAUGAUGUGAGCUUCAUUCAAAUUGUAGUGUGAAGAAGCGAAAAUUUUCCGAGUCACUGCAAUAUUAGUUUUAGUAAUGAGAUUUUUCUGAUGGUUAGCUUUGGAAAGCAAACGAGUAUCAACUUUCAAGCUAAUAGUCUGGGAUCACAUAUUAUUCUUUCUGGGAGUUAUUAGGGUAAAAUAUAGAAACCCCCUUGAGGUUAAGCGAAUAUAUAGAAAAAUCCCUUAUAAUUGGAAACAAAAAAAAUUAUAUUGAUAUAUCCAUUAUACCCUUUGAGUUAUAAUAUAAAAAACUCCCUGUGAUUAAGCAAACCUACAAAAAAAAAUUUCUUAUGAUUUCAAAUCAUACAAUCUAGUAUCUUGUGAUUUGAACUAAUGUGAAAAAUCGACAAAAAUCACUUAAAUUAACAAGUUUGAGGUUGCUGGACAUGGAAAAUAAUUUUUUAAAUCAAAAUUUUAGCUGAUAUACCUAUUAAAACUCAUAAAAUUUUCAAAAACAAUCCAAAACUCCUAAAUAUAACUCACCUUAUUUCUAUACACAAAUAAAAUAAAUAAAACUUCCAAAUACAACUAACCUUAUUCCCAUGCACAAAAUAAAUAAAUAAAAGCAGCAUAUAAUCACAAGGAGUUUUUCCGUAAGUUGGCUUAACCAUAAGGGGUUUUUCCAUAAGUUUGCUAAAUAGGAUGGUUGUUAGAAAGUCUUUUAUUACUUGUAUAUAUAGUAGGGUAAUUGUGUGUCAUUUCAUCUACCUCCGUUAGUUUUGACAAUUUCUGUUACUGUUUCAAAUUAAUUUAAAUCAUAAGAGACUGAAAUAUAUGAUUUGAAACUAUAAGAGAUUUUUCUAUAUGUUAACUUAAUCACAUGGAACUUUUUUGUAUUUUACCCGAGUUAUUAAGAUAUAAUAGACGGAGAAAAGCAGAUCGAUGGUUUUGGCAAUGAAAUUGAAUAUAAUCAUGUCACACAAUUUAAAUCAUCAAUUCUUGAUAGGUGUCUAGUGAGCACUCAUUAGUAAUUUAAUAGUCUCAUAGGUUAAUUCGAUCCCAAUAGUUUCUUGUCAGCUUAACUGGUUUGGCAUUUCUUCACUCUGUUUAAUUCAAAGGGCGAUGGACGGAGAGGAAAUGCGAUGGUAACGACAGAGACAAGCAGAAAAACCGAGGAUGUACGUACGGCUAGUACUUGAAUAAUUGAACUGUACCUUUUCACGCUGCUGUGAGGCUGUGAGCUCUCUCCAUUUGUAGGCAUUAUUACAUGGUCAAAAUCAUGUCGAUCCUCUUGUUUUUCCUUGGCAAAUUUUAGCGUUUUUCUGCACUACUAGUUGUCCAAUCUUUUAUUUUCUUACCAAGCCAAAGAAAAGAAGAGAGAUCUAUAGCUGUAGCUUGAUUUCCUUCCUCUUGUCUUCUCGCUGUUCACUUCCCAGUUCUGAGCAAUGUUUUAAAAACCGGACCGUUAAUUGAACCGGUGAAGUGAAAGGGUCGAGGUUCAACCGGUCGGACCGGUUCAACCUCGGUUCAAUGAAUUUUUUUAAAAAUAAUUUAUAUAAAUAUAUAUGUACAAAAUAAGACAUGUAAUGGACUAAUUUAAUAUUUUAUAUGAUGAAAAGUUUACUAUUUUUUAAUAACUUGGAUUUUUAAAAAUAAUUUUUUUAAAUUAUAAGUUAAAACAAAUAAAUUUCAUCUCAAUUUCAAUUAUAUCUAAAUUCAACCCCAAAAUAUCACAAUAUUUUGAAAUUAUACAAAAUUCAUGUCUCUGAGAAUUUAGAUAUUAUGAAUUUUAAUUUUAAUUUACGUUUUGGGAUUUAGAGAUUGCAAUUUAAAAAGGAAAAUUUGGAGUUCGAAGGAAAUCAAGAAAAUCGAAAAUAGAAAUGUAAACUUGAUAAGAAACAAAAAAUAAGAUAAAAGUGAGUGGUUGUGGCAUUAAAUAAUUUGGGUUAAAAAAAAUUCUUUUUUAACUUUUUUCAAUUUAAUGGACAAAAACAAAAUUAAAAGAUGGAAGAAAACAUCAAUAAAUUAAAAAUAAAGAGGUUUGAUUAAAAAGGGAGUGACAAAAGAAAAGAGGAUAGAGAGAGAGAGAGAGAGUUGAAAAUUAAAAAGAAAGAACCAUGAGGGGAUGAGAUUUUGUAAGAAAAAUGGAAAAAAGAAAUAUGAGUGUUUGUUUUAUAUAAAUAAGUUAUCAAAAAAAACUAAUAAGAUGUGAUGGUGCAACGGUUAAUACAUUGGUCUUUUAUUACAAAGGUCUUGGGUUCAAAUCUUGAUUGCUACAUUUUGCAAAACUUAGAAAAAAAAAAAAAAAAAAAGAGGGAAAGCUAAAAACCGGAAAACCGCCGGUUCGAUCCGGUUCGGCGGUUUUCACGGUUCAACCGGUCUUUGACCGGUUUUAUAGCAAAGUCAACAAUGUCAUUGAACCGGACCGGUGCCAUGGCCGGUUCGCGGUUCAACCGGUCGAACCGGCCGGUCCGGUCCGGUUUUCAAAACAUUGGUUCUGAGUUGUCAUCUCACCAUACCAAAGAUUCGAAACCUUAUUUCGCGUCGCUGAAAAAAGUUUACCAUUUCUUACCAUACUGUUCCAAAUAAUUUCACGAAAUCAAUAUUAAUCUUGAAAAAAAAAAAAACCAAGAAAGCCAAUAUGCUUCCUGUCCAUAGAAAAGACCAAGGAAAAAAAAAAUUGCCAUACCUAGAGUCAGCCUCGCAGUAUGCGCACCUAAUAAAGAGGACAUAUGCAGCAGGCAGUAGUUUAUAGAAGUAGCUCUUUCAUUUCAUUCGCGAAUUCUUAUUUAAUACUUCAAAUGAAUGAAAACAACAUAUAGUACAUCCUAGAAGAGCGAUCGCCAACUUCUUGUUCCUAUUCCUUGGACGCUACUGGAUAAAAUACUCAAAAUUGUUAUUUGGAUACAUGUACAAGUGAGUGAGCAUACGAUAAGGGACUUCUAACCAUCGAAUUGUCGAUUAGAUAGGGGAUGCUGUAGGCAUAACCAAGCUCUAAGCUGUCUGAGCUUUUGUAGAGGACGACCAAAAAUUUUGUCGGACUUUUCAAAUCCCAACUGACCGCUACAAGUGAAAACCAAACGGUGACGGCCUCCGAGUAUCAUGUAUGAAACCUUUUUACAUUCUUCGAAAAUACAAUUGGCAGAGUAUGGGAAGGUGAGAUGCAGAGACACCCAACCAAACUAGUUCAAAUCUUUCGUCAGUUCUUCUUGUUAUUUCUUUCCGUCUUUAUAGCCUCAUAAGAUAUCAUAACUUCCUUAAACUUUGCUUCAGCAAGCUCUGCAACCAAAGAGGAACAUUAGAAGUUAGUCCACAGGCAAGAAAGUAACCUAGCUAAAUGUCAUACUAGCUCAGAGAUAUAAAUGUGCGAUUGAGAAGAGUAAUGAUUCCAUACGUUGAUUAUCCUGAUUCUGAUCAGGAUGGAACUCCAUUGCUUUCGCCCUGAAAGCUGACUGCAAUGCAAAUAAAAGUGAAGAUACAUCAGGUCAACGUUUUCAAUUAUUUAAUAACCGACAGAAAAAACAAGAGCAGGAGCACAUAAUUAUGAUAGUUACGACCGAUAGCUUUAUGAUGUACAAAUACAGUUUUACAAUCGUGUCGAAUGGAUGUUGCCUAUGAAAGUUUGGAGCAGCUAUAAGAGAAUGAACUCAGUCCAUCUAACAGAAAAAACAGGUUUACAUGUACCCUGAUGUGAAAAUGAUUGCGAGUCGCAGCUAGUAUCCAUGGUUCUCAGCAAUAUUAGAUCGUAUAACAUAAAACUACAACUGCCACGUUCAACAAUUACACAACUUCAAGAAAAAGGCAUUGUGAGAAUCUACUGUAGCUUUAGAAUAAGAAGAACAAAUUGAAGAAAGUGAGGAAUUAAAAUUCGAUUCCAGAUUAUCCUUUCGUUCUUGUGAAAAGAGGGGUGUUUUUAGCAGAUGUAAAUCUAUUUGUGUUCAACAUAAUUGAAGAACUGGUCUACAUUUUAUAGAUCAGAUUGGUUACCUCCUCUCUUUUUACCAAUACAUAGUUGUCACUGAAGUUCCUUUAAUUUCUUCCUUCUACCCAUAAAGAGAAAUACAAGGAAAAGAAUUUUCCAUUUAUUCUUAGCCUCACUUCUUUUCAUUUAUGUAUGUAUAACUAAGGGACAAGUUAACAUCACCCCUUCACCUUCCCAUAUAGUUUUGCUAGCAAACUAUGACUCAAACCAUCACUACAUGCUUAAGGAAAUACAAAAUAUCAAAUGAAAUAUCAUAUGAAGAUAAAAUGGUAAUCAGUUAUGUGCAAUAAUACCCACAAGGUAAAUAGUACCUUUAUCUCGUCAUCUGUGUAUGGUUUUGCUCUUGCCCUGUUGCAAAGGAGACAAUCCAUGUGUCAAGUCUCACACAUUGAGUCUUUCCACAACAUAUAAAUUAAAAUUUCCUACACUAGCCAGAAUAACAUGUUGUGGAAAUGAACAAAACCAUUCUAGAGGAUAUGAUCUGAGAAAACAAAUUUUUGGCCAGGAUAAGAAAGAAUUUAAAAGUUAGCAUAAUAGCUUCACUGACAAAACAAUAUCUGAUAUGUAAUACAGAUUGUCACCUGUCAAGACCUAAGACUGAAUAGUGAUGUGAUAAUGGAUAGCUUGCACUGGCCCGAGGAGCCUCCCUGAAUUUAGCCCCUUGAUCUCUAUAUGAUGUAUCGCCCUUCCAAUACCAGUCAUUUCUCUGAAAAUGCUGGUGAUAUGCACCCUGACCAUUUUCUGCCCAGCUCUCGUAACUCCUUUUAUACUUAUUUCUCUCUCUAUUGAAGACACUUUGCAUGCGUCGAAUCCGCUCCUGGACAGAUCAACCAUGAAGCAAUGAGUUGCAUAUGGCCGCAAACUUCCAACAAAAUUAGGAAAAAAGAUUUGUCUGUAACCCUUUAAAAAGAAGCUUACAUGCUGCGUCACAUUAAUUAGAGGAUAAGUCCAGAUCAACUCAAGUUCUUUUGGAAGGCAACAAGAAGGUUGUAUCCAUAUUCAAAAGGUCAAGGCUCCGUUUGGAAUAGCUGUGUUUGGGGUUGUUUUUAAAAUAUUUUACUAUAGCAAUGUAUAUGAAAAACUUUUACCGUAGAUGUUUUUGGUGGUAUUUUUGAAAUAUUUUGGGGAUAUUUUUAAAGUUUAAAAACUUUUAGUGUAUUUUUUAAAAAUUAAAAUUACCACUCACCACCGCCACCAUCGCCACCCCCUCCCUCCUCCUCUCUCUUCCUCCUCCUCCCCCUUUCUCCUUCCCUCCUUCCCCUUCGUCCUCCUUCUCCCUUCCCCUUCCCCUCCCUUUUCCCGCCACAACCCUGCCCAAUCUAGGCACGGACAGCACGGGGAGAGGGAGACGGGAGGGGCGGGGGUUGUGGCGGGAAAGGGGAAGGGAGGAGGGAAGGUGAAAGAAGGGAGGAGAAGAGAAGGAAAAAGAGGGUGGGAGAAGAGAGUGGAGUGGAGGGGAUGGGGGUGGGGGUGAUAGAUGGAAGAAGAAAAUGGUGUACAUUUAAUUUUUUUUUGUAUAGUUGGAGUUGUUUUUGAUAUACUGUAUGGAUGUGGUGUUUUUAGAGUUGUUUUUGUUUGUGUAUUACUGUAGCAUUGCAUAUGAAAAACUUGUUGUUCAAGGUAAUUGCUUAUCAAAAUAUUGGUCAAAUAAGGCUACAAAGAUAGACACUUGAUGUGGGCAGUCAAUUGCUUAUUCACAAUCCACUGAAAAAUCCUGCCUUUGACAGCUUCUCUUUCUAUCAGAAGUACACAUCCUGCUUUCUACCCAUAAGAGACAAAUCACACAUAGUGACCAUCUCUAAAAUCAAGUUCCUUGUUUACUCCAAAAGAUCCAUUUCAAGAAGACAGGCUAAUACAUGCUUAAUGUCAAGUAUUAUCUGGAGAUGAUGACAAGCCAAAAACAACAGUGACUACAAACUUUUAGCCACUUCAAAAUGCAGUGAUACAUGUCUUACGGUUCUUAGUUUCUUAAGCUUGAAAUUUUGGUGAUGAAGUAACAUAAUCAUUUCAUUUUGCACCAGAUGUUCUCUUGUAAGAUGCUUAUAUGAAGAGUGGAUUUAAUUGGAAGAGCAAUUCUUAAGGAAUUAACAGAGUUAUCAUAAUCAGGUUCCACAAAGACAUCUGUUCAGUCCUUUCAAUCAGAAUGGCAAUUUAUAACUUUCAUGUCAUCCCAUCUGAGUCAGAUAUCUCAAACUUGUCAUAUCAUGCCAGUAAUAUGGGUUUAACGCUCUCAUGCAACUAGCCAACUAACAUUCAAAACACCCCCCCCCCCCACAACACUCUUCCAUUGAUAUGAAAUCACAAGUAUUACAUGCGUGACCCAUACCAUGGGACAAAACCAUUUACCUUCUUUAGAGAGGAAACCAAUGAAAAUAAACAGAAGCACCAGAAUAGUCAUGUGUGUAAAACAAAUGCACAGAAUGUAAAGAAAAACAACAUUAUCAUCUUCAUUAAAUUGAAAAAAGAGUUGCAGAAAAUUGUCACAUCAAAACGUUUCCAAAAAGGUCAACAAAAUUGUAAACAUUCGUCUGCUUCCUGAAAUGAGAUGACUAUUAAGCAUUUGAAAAAGGAAGAUGAAUCUCACCACUCUCUCCAUUUCUUCUUCAUACUCUUCCUGCAUCCUACGGUUGUAUCUUUUCCAUGCUUCCUCCUGAAAACUUGUCCUGGAAGUUUUACCAGAAGCACUUUUCCAUGAUGCUUUUGACCUGGUCAACUUUUCAGAACGACAUCAUCUAUCAUCAGUUCAACAUGCCUUCAUGUUUUCUGUUCUAUGGCAUUAUUAGCGAGAAAAUCCACCAUUGAAGAAUCUUAAGAAUCAAUAACUAAUGUGUUCAAACGUCAAACAAUAUGCCAAAAUGUGUUCAAACAUGUUCAACAUGCUUUCAUGUUUUCUGUUCUAUGGCAUUAUUAACCCAGUUUCCAGCACACAUGUCUUCAAACGUCAAACAAUAUGUCAAAAUAUUUACCAAACAUAAUUCUUUCUCUGCUCUCCCAUCAGUAUUGGGAAAACUUAUUCACAAGUCAAGAUAAAGUAACUGUUGCCAAUAUUUUCAAUUUUUAUAAAUUAAGUCACCAAGCAAAAGCUCGGUAAAAUACUUAACAAAAAUUGUUGCAGACAUAUAUCUGCGAACUAUAUUCAUGUUAGACCAUUCAGCCAGGAAUUGCAAAGCUAAAGGCUUCCGUAUUAUAUUUCCUCCACUAUCCAAGAGAAAAACUAAUUGAAGGACACGAGCGAUUUUUUUUUUCUUGUCAAAGAGGUACACAAGCAUUUAAUUCAUCAGUUUCAAAGAUUUGGGAGAGAGAGAGACUUUAAUUCCCUAAGGAAAGGGAACUAAGCAGCAAGAAAUUGAACAAGUAAACAAUUUUUCCCUGGCCUAGACAAAUUAAACAAUUUUUGCAAGUACAUCAGCUUGUAGCAUUAUCAUCAACUUCAGUCACCUGUUUAACAGUAUCAACUUAAAGAGAUGUGGUGCCAAAAAUCUAGUUCAUGCACCAGAUCAUAUUAAUUAAAUCUCACAUUUGAAAUAAUUAAUAUUUACAUUAAGUUUGCAGCUUCGUUUUCCAUAUGUGCCCCACAAUCUCCACUCUCCCAGAACCACACCUCCCACAGAGCUAUGGCCCACUCAAGACCAGCAGUCCUAAAACUUGGAAUGCUCUAUUCUUGUUUCCAUUUUUGUUUAUUUCAGUCUAACUUUCUUAUAGGUGCAAAGUUUCCUGUUCACCUUACUCUACCAGAAAAGCAGAAAUAUUUUAUAAAAGCUGAGCAUGUGCGCAUCUCACCAUGUUAUUCAUAAAAGAAUUUACAGAACUGGAAAGGAGCAUCAUUCAAAGCAACAUGACAUCAUCAUAGAAACUGAAAAGUAAUUCUAUGGUGAUGCUAAGACAGCUCAUCGCAAUCCCCCAACAGGAAACAAAAAGAGCAUCAGUAACUACCUGAGAGUAAACCCAAUCAACAGAUCUUCGCAAUUGAGUAACCUGCAAAAAAUUGCAACUGGUGUGAUUCAUCCACCAGAAAUGGACCACAAAGAAACACCACCUGAAGAUCUACUAGCACAAGUUUUAGCAGAAACAACAAUCAAAUACAUUUUAAAAAUUCAAUGAAGAAGAACAUAAAUCGAGUUGUAAGUCCCUGACAUCUGCUGACAACAGCAACGGAUCAGAUGUAUCACUCCCAUCUAACAUCUAAGGCGAUCAGUCUACUUCUUCAGCAUUACUUCAACAUUUAAUCUCAACCAUCCAUCGAAAGCAACAGAUCAUUCUACUUCCAGAUUCCACAAGUGUGUCUGGGCUUUACCAACUGUUCAAUGGCCCCUUCACAGAGUUCUUCUGAACUUCUACAAUUACCCGACCAAACACGAGAAAAUUCUCCCCAUACCAUAAACACCACCAAGAACCGCGCAAGGAAAUCAAACCUUUAAUUUGGUCCAACUCAAUUCUAAGACAAGUAAUUGCUAAAAUCAUUUCUUCAUCAAUAGCACUUCUCAUGUAUUAGUUUAAGUACAAAUGCUCAACUAACAGAUAUUUCUCCAACAACUAAUAUUAGCAAAACUAACUAAAUCUCUUCCUACAAAGUUCCAGUAAUAAUGUGCGGGAAAAAUAUCAUCGGAAGAAAUAAAUGCCAACUAAAUUGUGUACAUAAUUCAUUGGAAUUAACCUAAAGUAUUACAAAAAAAACAGAACUUGCACAAUCAAAACGAGAAAAUUGAAAACUGUAAAAGUAAUUAACCAAGAGAAACUUACGGCAGCGGUGGUGGCGGUGGCGCCAAUUAAUCCGAAAAGUAGAAUUCCCCAUAUUUUCAUGUCUUUUUCACUAUCUGGAGAAUAACCAGGUCUGCUUGGUUGCUGCGGCCAUGGAUUAUUAGGUUUAGGAUUUUUAUCCGCAGCAGCAUCAUCUUCCUUUGCCAUCUUUAUCAACUUGUAGAAUGAAAUUUGGGAUUUUAGCUAUCCAGAACCUGGAUUCGUUUAUUAUCUCUUCUUUCUUGAAAUGACGAUUUGGACUAAAUUGUCAAGUUGCAAAACAGCCUUAUUAAAGCGUAGAUUACCUUAUUCCUCUGUGGAUUGAAGAAUUAAUUGGGAAAAAACAAAAAGAAAAGAGCUCUGGGGUCUGGUUCUGAAGAAUUUGAGAAGACAAAUGACUACCUGAAGAAGGAGAUCGUAAAUUUGGGAAAAAAAAAAAAUGGAGAUCGUAAUUCUUUUUUUUGUAUAUAACAUUUACCUCCCUUGAGGUUUGACCAAACUACUAAAUAAACCUUGCAGUUUGAUCAAAUUACAUUUACCCCCAACCCCCCAAAAUAUGUAACAGCGUUGAAACUUGAAACUCCACUAACUCAUAUACCGAAAGGACAAAAAUGCCCUGACCUAAAAUAUUUAAAAAACAAAAAACUAAACAUGAUAAUUUAAAACAAAGAAAUGUGUAAAAGGAAAAUCCAAAAAAAACUUAAAUUAAUAAUUUGGAGAUCGUAAAUUGGAGUCGACAAUGGGAGAAGAAAAGGAAACCAAUUUUGUCUCAUCAUACUUUUUUUUUCAUUUUUCCUCUCUUUCCCCUUUUUUUUUUACUUUUUCCUGGACGAUUUUUUAUUCACUUUUUCCUGUUUCUUUUUCUUGUCUCUUCUUAGUCUUUCUUUCUUCAUUUUCCCCUUUAUGUUGUUGUAUACAUGUUCAUGUAGUUGAUUUUAAUAAUAACAUAUUGGGAUAAUUGCAGAAACCUCCCUUUAAAAUUUUUGAUAUUUGCAUCAACCUCCCCUAUAGUUUGAAAAAUUACACUGACCUCCCCUGAGGUUACUAAUCCUUUGCAAAUUCAGUCCAAAUGAUUAAAAUAUUGUUUUAGGGAGUGAAAUUAUAAUUUUUUUAUCAAAUUUGUCCUUUGUACUACAUGUCCAAUGAAUGACAAAAUACUACAAAUCAAUUAACAAUUAAUAAAUUUUAAGGAAUAUUUAUAGGCAAAUAUGCAUUACCUAUUUAAAGCACCGGUUCUUUAUGGGUAUUUUACUUUCAAACAUUUAAUUUAAUACAAAUAUUUAAGCUCAAAUACAUAUUUGUAUUUAUUUUCAAAUAUUUAAUUUUUAUUAAAUACAAAAACUACCAAUCUCUCUUCCGUAAAAAUAUUAAGAUAACACUUUUUCAAUUUUAGUUACAAACAUUUACGUAUUUAACAUAAAUUAAAUGAUUCAGAAUAGAAUACUCAUAAAGAGCCAAUACUUUACUCAUGUAAUGGAUGAAAUCCAUACAAAAUUAAUACUUUAUGGAUCAUUUUUUUAAAAAAAUUAUUUAAUUUAUAUUAAAUAAAUAACCUAUCGAUUUUCUUUUUGCAAGAAUAUUACUGUAACACUUUUUGAAUUUUACUAACAAACACUAAUAUAUAUAUAUAUAUAUAUAUAUAUAUAUAUCAUAAAUUAAAUGUUUGAAAGUAAAAUAUCCGUAAAAAAUCGGUACUUUAAAUGAGUAAUGCGUGUUUACCUAUAAAGACCUGGUAGAGUAUUUUACUUUCAAACAUUUAAUUUAAUACAAAUAUUUACGCUCAAAUACAUAUUUGUAUUUACUUUCAAAUAUUUGAUUUUUGUUAAAUACAAAACCUAUCAAUCCUUCUUCCGUAAAAAUAUUAAUAUAACACUUUUUCAAUUUUAGUUACAAACAUUUAUGUAUUUAACAUAAAUUAAAUGAUUCAGAAUAAAAUGCACAUAAAUAGCGAAUACUUUAUUCGUGUAAUGGAUGAAAUCAUAAAAAAUUAAUAUUUUAUGGGCCAUUUAUUUUUUAAAAAAAAUAUUUAAUUUAUAUUAAAUAAAUAAUCUAUCGAUUUCCUUUUUGUAAGAAUAUUACUAUAACGCUUUUUGAAUUUUACUUACAAAUAUUGAUAUAUUUAUCAUAAAUUAAAUAUUUGAAAGUAAAAUACUCGUAAAGAGUUGGUACUUUAAAUAAGUAAUGCAUGUUUGUCCAUAAAUUACACUCCUUAUAAUUUAUUAAUUGUUAAUUGAUUUAUAGUACUUUGUCAUUCAUUGGAUAUAUAGCACAAAGGACAAAUCUGGUACAAAAUUCUAAUUUCACUCUCUAAACUAAUAUUUUAAUUAUUUGGACUAAAUUUGCAAAUGAUUAAUAAUCUCAGGGGAGGUCAGUGUUAUUUUUAAAAUCACAGGGGAGGUCAGUGCAAAUGUCAGAAAUCUCAGGGGAGGUUUCUGCAAUUAUCCCAAAAAAAACCCAACUUAUCAAAGGUAAAUUUGCCACUUAAAGGGAUUUAAUCCCUAUAAUUAAAAAAUUGCAAUACUAUAAGGAUCGAUUAGAUAACUAGUUUCAUCCCAUUUCGGUUCCCCUCCCUUGUAGCCCAAAAUAGUAUUGGUAGCAUAAGAUAGUAUUGAUAUUGCCAAUUGUUAAAAAACAAAAAUUAUGCGGUGUGGAUUUCUUCAUCUAUAGUAUUAAAAAAAGUCAACUACUAAAUCUCAUUCCAUUUAGAAGAACAAAACUAGCGAAACUCAACUUACUCGUAUGAAAAUGCACACUUUGGUACUUGUUAAGGUAAUUAGCUUUUAUUGAUCCUUGAAUGAGCACUCGUUGAUAUUUAAAAAAAUAAAUAAAGUAAGUAAAGUAUAUAAAUAUAAGGCAGUGUAAUAACUAUUAGUGUAUGCAUUUAAAAAAUAGAUUGAACGUAAUUUAAGUGAUUGAUUUGGAGCACCCAUGCAAAAAAUCCUAGUAAAAGCAAAUGAAAGCCCUUGUUUUCAAGAGUCAGCUUGGUGAUUAAUUAGGUAACUAGUUUUAUAUAUACGUUAAUUGGCUAUAUCAAGAGCAAAUGCCAAUCUUUGUCCCAAGAUUUAUACUUAAAUUGGCUAUAAUAAGAACAAACAAAAGCCUUUGUCUCCAAAAUUUAGUCUUGUUUGACAAAUGAGUUUUUUUAAUAUUUAUUUAAAAUUUUACUGUAGCUUAUCGCAGAAAUUGUAGAAAAAAUUUGUAAAAUGAAAAACUUUUUUUUCUUUCCUCUCUUCUUCUUCUCCAUUCUUCCUCCCCUGCCACCUCUCCCUUCCCUCCCGCUAGAAAUUGCAAUAGAAACAAUUUUUUUUUUUGCUUUAUUCUCUCUUUCUUUCUUUUCUCCUUCUCCCCCGCCAUCUCUCUUCCCCCUCCCCCUCCCCCUCCCCCCAGUCACAAUUUAGUUGUGCGACCGGGGGAGGGGGAGCAUGGCAGGGAGAGAGAGGUGGCAGGGAAGAGGGGCGGGGAAGGGAAAGGAGGAGGGAGAGGGAAAGGGAGAAGAGGGAAAACAAAAUUUUUCUCUGUUGGCGCUAGAAAAGGUGUCUAUCAGUAUUGGCCAACGGCGAAGGUGGUGGUGGAUUGAAGUGGGGAAGAAAGAAGAAGAAAGGAAUAAGGAAAAUGUGUGUUUUUGGUAUUUUAAAAUGUGUAUUUUAAAAACUUUUGAGAAAAUUUUUGAGAUUAUGUAGUUAAAGUCGUUAAAAAAACUAGUAAAAAACAAAACUUGGACAAAAACUCAUUUGGCAAACAAACCCAUAAAUUGGUAUCCAACUCAACUUGCAGGAAGAUUAACGAAUGAUCAUGAGGUCUUACCUCAAGAUUUUUCGUUUACCCUUUUUCCUAGUAAAACUUUGGAGUAUGCAUUAUAAAAAAAUCUUCAAGCUAUCAAAAAACUCAUUUUUCUAGUAGAUAUGGAUAAAAUUUCUUAAAAUUUAUAUUAAAAAAAAUCAUGCCAUCUAAAUCAGCAAUUUCUAUUUUUGUGUAGUAAUUGAAAAAUUAAAAUUGAGUACUUUAAGUUAAAUAUAUAACUCAGUCGAUGGUUUCUUUUAAAUUACCGGCGCCUAAUGCAUACCCAAUAUGUGUGCAAUCAAAAAAUAUAUUCACGGUCAUAUGUUUUAAAUAAAAUUUUUAUUACUGAAGCAAAUUUUAAUCUUUUAAAUAUUUUUCAUAAAAUAAUUUUAUAUUGAUAGUUAUAAAUUAUAACUUAUAAUGUUUAGGGGUAGUUAUGUUGAACAUAUAUUUAAAUAGUUAAAAGUAAAAAUAAUUAUGAAUAAUUAUAGAUAAUUAAAAUAAAAAUAUUUUUUAUAAGAAUAAAAGAGAAAGUUUAUAAAGCCGCAAUGUUAACUUCAAAGCCUUUUCAUAUAGUAUAGAUAUAUAUAACUCUCAGCGUAAGGGUGUCGGCGUACACUAUACACAAAUACACAACCGUCAAAUAACAGGCAAACCCGCGCCAUUUACAGCUAAUCCCCUCUUUCCACAAAAAGUAAGUCAUUUCUCCUCCCAAUAUCUUCCAUCCUCCCCCAAUUUCAUUCAUUUUUCUACUGAACAAGAAAUCAAGUCCAACGCCAUCGUUGUCAGGGCAGAUCUAAAAAAAUGCGGAUGAGGUUGAUUUAGUUGCUUUUAUCAGGUACCAAUUAAUUAAUCAUUUUCGACCCAGAUAUAAAUCUUUCGGAUUGGUUGAAUAAAAUUUAUGCAUGCUGAAUAUGAAGAAUUCCUGAAUAAUAGUAGCUAAUUGGUUUAGGUGUUUAGGGUUUAAGAAUGAUGGCAAUGGCAAUGUCAAGGAGGCCGAUAAAUCCAUCUAGACGAGUUGCAGAUAUUGUAGGAGCUUCUCCAGUUCCAACCUCACUUCAUUCGAAAUCUCGAUCGUCACCAUUUCUAUCUCUUGGACUUAUUGUCGUGGUAAUGUUUAUGCUAGAUUCAUUGUUAAUUCUCCAUAAAUACUUUACUUAAUCUCAUUUCUUGUUAAAUUUUAUUUUUAUUUUCAGGGAUCAAUCCUUCUUAUUGGCUAUUUUUAUCGUGGCUCAGGUCCGUUCGACUCAGUUUCCAUUUGUAACUACUUGGUAUUUUCUUUAGUUGAUAAUUUUUGCGUAUAAAUUCACCAUCCCAUAGCCAAAGUAGCUAAGUUUUAUUUGGAAAGAAAAAAUAUGGAGAAUGGUGCAGACUUUGGCAGGCCAGAUUAUACUUCCCUAGCCAGUAGCUGGAACUUAUGCUGAUUGAAAAUCUUGAUAGAGUAAGGAAUCAAUAUAAUUAAGCGUUAUUACUAUCAAAUAAACAAGUGUGGUUUCUGACCUUUCUGAUAUCAGUGACUGUUAAAAUGUGGUAUUUUGUGAUUUCCUCUAAAGGCAGAGUGAAAUACCUAUACCCUACUUGGAAUCCAUGAGUCUGUGGUAGUACUGAACCUGGAGAUGAUUAAUACAAAUUCAAAUCAAUCAGGGGUUUCUUAGAAUAAGUGAAUAAGUGACCUUUGUUAAGGGCACUAUACCUUGGACACAAAAGUUAAUGCUAAUCACUUUUCAUCACACACUUCGGUUUUCCUCUUCCUCAAUGCUUGGACACAAAAGUACUGUGUUAGAGUCAAUGAGCAUCUUUUCUUCUUUAUGUAUCCAUAUUAUUCCUGAGAGCUCUCCCUCAUCCAUUUCUUGUCUAACAUUUGAAAUUAAUUGUAUGUUGCAUCCUAUUUCCUUAUUGAAUUUUAACUAUAUUGUUAAGCAUGCCCCUGAGACAAACACAACGUUGUUUUGUUUUUCUCCUUUAUUUAAAUGUGGAACAUUAAUUUGUUUCCACUAUAAGAAAUUGUGCCUGAUUUUAUGGGUUUCGAUAGUAAGCUAUGUAGACUAUGGAAGGUGCAACUAUCUAAGUUGGUACUUGGUUUGCAAAGUUAUUUGUUUCCACUAUGAGAAAUUGUGUCUGAUUUGAUGGGUUUCGAUAGUUACUUGGAGUAUCUACUAUGAUGUAGACUAUGGAAGGCACAACUAUCUAAGUUGGUACUUGGUUUGCAAAGUUAUUUUGACUUGCUGCAUUUACUACCCACUUGUCUAUUCACUGAGAACCUAUUUUGCCUGACAGGUGGCUUUGGUCAUAUAGGAGCUGUCAGCAGGGUUCAAGGUAAUUCACCUCUGAUUCAUUCACUUGAGUUCUGGCUUUAUUUGUGUGCCCUGUAUAACUUUUUCAAUUUGCCAGUCUUGCUGGUUGAUACAUGGAAGUUAAAUGUAGACUUGGCUUACAUUAUUGAUGAGAGUUGAAAGCUUUGGUUGAGACUAGAAUUUUGAAUUGUCUGUCUCCUAAUUCCUAGAAGAUCUCGGGGUUAUGAAAUGGAUCUAAAAUAUGUAAAUGGCUCUUUGUUUUGUGCUUGAGGUCCUUGAGUUGUCAUCUGAUGUUAAAUCAUGAACCAUGAAAAUUUUGAGUUCUAGACCUGCUUCUUGUUGGUAACUAACUAGAUCAUGGGCCGUCUUUAUUUUGGGUAAACAUUUAUACAAUUAAACAUGUGAAAUGAUAUUGGGAGUGAUGCUCUUCAACAAUAGAAAAUAUGCAAGAUUGGUUCAUUAACUACGAAAACUGUAGCCAUAGUGGAGAUCUGAGCUUUGCAUAAUAAACAGUCCCAUGCAUAAAAACUGCCUAAGUUGUUGAGGCUAUCAUAACAGUUAAUCAUUUUAUCACUUAUGCAAUUCUCUAGUGAUUCACUAUUUAGCAUGUUGACUGAUUAAAUUUUAUUUUUGAUGCUUAGAGGUGGGGACCCCUAUCUGAAAUUAAUGUAGAUGUCAGUGUUUGACAUACAGUCUUCCAUUUAAAAAUCUUGGACUUCUUUAUUAUGUGCAGGGGAUUUCUCAUGUACUACAGAGGUUCAACAGGCGAUUCCUUUUCUGAAGAAAGCAUAUGGUGACAGCAUGCGCAAGGUGUUGCAUAUUGGUCCAGAUACUUGUUCGGUAGUUUCCGCACUAUUAAGAGAGGAGGAUACUGAAGCUUGGGGACUGGAGCCAUAUGAUAUAGAGGAUGCUGAUCACAGUUGCAAGAGUCUUGUACAUAAGGGUCUUGUUCGUGUGGCUGAUAUCAAGUUUUCUCUUCCAUACAGGGCAAAAUCAUUUUCUGUUGUGAUUGUCUCAGAUGCACUGGAUUAUUUGUCCCCAAAGUAUCUGAAUAAAACCCUUCCUGAAUUGGCAAGGGUUUCAGCUGAUGGACUUGUUAUUUUCACUGGUAAGUUGAGAUUCUGCUACAUUUCGCUAGUUCCUUAAAAUUGUUAAAUGUUCUGGGAAAGGUCCUUUUUUACUUUUCUACUAAGUUCCCCUUAUAUUGUUUUUCAUCAACCUUUAUUAUGCUUUACUUUUUACCUUUCCUUUUAGAUUGUAAGAAAUCUUAAUCCUUUUAGGUGAGAAUUUUGUGAUCCUUGGGAAUAAUUGGGAUAGAAACCAAAUGCUGCGAUAUUGAGCUUAUUAGAUGAAUACAAAAUCUGCUAUCUUUUAAUUUAUUUUGAGAUUUUUUGCUGAAAUCGAAGUCAGUAUUUCUUUUCAAGAAGUUUUCUGCAAAUAUUUUGUUGCCUUUGCUGGUCAUUGGUUGGGAUUGUUGCUAUUGGUGUCUUUCCUCCUAUGUUGAUCGUUGUUUAGAAAGAUGCAGAAAACAGUCUCAUUGCCACUGUCAGUGGAGCAUAAUUGCCAUGGUGUUUUAUGGAAUUAAAGAAACAUUACAUCAGUUCCGGCAAAGUGCAUGCAAUUAUUUGGGAUUGGAAAAGAGAAAGCAGGCUGUGAGACAUUUUAUGAUGACACAUAUUAUCUAACUCUCCACCUGGCUGCAUCAGUAUUCCCUAUUUCUUAUAUAAUCUGAUUUUACAACAUAUCAGGUUUUCCACAGCAUCACAAAGCAAAGCCCACGGAUAAAUCCAAAUUAGGGCGAUCUGUAAGUAUCUUUGUAUCCUAUGCUACAUUUGUUUUAUUAUUCAUUGUUGUCUAUUUUGCUUAUGUUCACCUUUUGGAAAUAAAAUCCAUAGUGUCUAAAGUUUGCACAACAGAAGGUCAUAUUCUUUCUGAUCAAUGUUUGAGCAUGUUAAUAUCGUCUCACACUUGAAGCUUUUUUCAAUUAAUAUCAUUGUUAUCAAUUUUUGGUUGUGUUAUUUUUAUCUCUCAUGCAAAUUAUUCCGAGUCAUAUCCUGAUUUCUCAGGGUUUUAUAGUAUGUUGGCCAUAAUGUUCAUCUGUGCAAAUUCAGGUAGAUUUUCAGAAAUGGCACCAUCUGUACAAGUCUUCUUGUUUGUUAUGAUUGCUGCUUAAGGCUUCAGGUUUAAAUAAUGUUGUAGCAACACAGAUAGAAGCAUACAAAAUGUCUGCAAGAGUAAAACUGAAUAUGAGUAGAGAGUUGAGUCUGGAAAAUGGUCUUCUGGGCUUGACAUAUCUAAAUGGAUUAUUAAUUUCCUGGGGGAACCACUAAGGUGCUGAAUCGCUGGACAAUAGCAAAUAUAAAACAAUGAAAAACGAUGGGAUUAUACAAGGGCAUCAAAAAGAGAAACUAAAGACAGUGACUUUCAACCACCUAAUUCCCUCCGUUUGAUGAUUACAGAAACAAUUGAAAGCUUCUUCAAUCUUGUUACGCUUGAAGAACGCAGGCAUGUAUCAUUGAAAUUUCAAACAUAACAUACUUACUAGUUCUUCUCUUUUGCUGGCACAACGCUUACUUUCUCUUAUGGAGAAAUAAGUAUCACAAUUCAUGAUUUGUUUUCAAAAUUUGUGUGAUGAUUUAUGUUUAAAAUUAGGGACAUAACAUACUCCAAUAUAUUUUAUCUUCUUACUGAGAAAAUAUUUUAUACCUCGUGAUGUUUAAUCAUCCACUUAGGGCUGAAAGAAUUUCUCCCCCACUCUUAUGAUUUUUUUUUUUGGGGGCUGUUGGGCAUGGGGUGGUUAAUAGGCUAAACUAAGGAGCGCAACCUGGUGGGUUCGACAUUUUGUUCAGACAAGUUUGGAAGAAAAUGAAGCUGCCGUGAAAAAGUUUGAACAAGCUGCGUUGAGAAGAUCUUACAACCCAAGUUGCCAAAUAUUUCACUUGAAGUCAUAUCAAUAAAGUUUUGGAGUUUUGUCAGCUGAAGUGCCUUUCCAGUUUCCUCGACCCUUAAGUUACAACAUUUAUUUAGUUCCAAAAGGCCAUUGGACCAGUAACUCUUAGAAACGAUUUAAACAGUUGAGAUCUUUGGGGCAUUUAUGGACAAAAUAGGCCUCUGCUUCGUGAUGAAGAGGUUGGAUUUCGGCAGAUUAUUGAUCAAUUGUAAGCGGGAAAUGUAGCUAACAUCUGGUAAUGCGUACCUAUUACUAGAUUUCGAUGAUUAAAGCAGCUUACUAUAGCUUCUCAUUACAAUGGGCAAUGGUCGGAUGAGAACAUCACGGUCAUUGUUCAAAGCAUAAUCAAUGUUACAGCAGUAAUAUUAUUAACUGAAAAUUGACAGAAUCUCUUUUCUUUCUGGUCCUGAAACGGUGUAAAGGAUGUUGAUUUUACAAUGUUCUUCCUUUCAUGGAUUCUCUUUUGCCGGAAUCUACUACAAAAUACGAGCCAUUGUGAAGUCAGUAUUUGUUUACGUACGGGAGGGACAUCUAACAUGUUUACAGCAUCCAUCUUGUCUAUAAUCUAGCAGAAACGCACGCACACACACACACAUAUGGUAAAAAUAUUUUCUUCGGCAGUUGUAUUAGAAAUGCUAGAGAGCCAAUUGAUUUUACUGCCUGAAUUUGGUUGUAAUCCUCAUUUGGAUUCCUGUAGUUCUUGAUUAACAAUAAUGUUAUAACUUAAAAAAAAAAAAAAAGAAGAUUAACAUGAGUGUUAUCAUAGCACAGGACAUAUGGUUUGGGACAUUGAUAACUGAUCCGAAAGGGCUCCAAAAAGCUUAUGACAUAUACUCAGGAACAUUGAUAACUAAUCCGAAAAGGCUCUAAACAGUUUAUGCUUGGGAGAAAGGGUAAAUGGAUCCGUCCAUUUCUUCUCUCUCGUUGCAAUUCAGAGAAAUUAUCUUUAAAUUCCAGAUAAAUGACUGUCUCCUCUUUAAAUGAUGAGCGACCAUAUUGUCAACCCAUGUUGCUGUUCUUCUUGUGCUACUGCUCUCUUUUAUGCUAACAUUGAAUGGAUUGAAGUGCCCUCCAUGGAUGACUUUCACACUGAUAUGACUUUUCACGUUGAUGAGCCACAGAGGCUGGACCUUGCAGCCGUUGUUGGGUCUGAUGUGUUGAUUAUGCUUCGGUGGGGUGGGCUGGUAUCGCAAUUGUCAGCAAGAAACACCACUAAGCUAAAAUUCAACACAUUUGUCCCUCACAUCAUGGACUAAAUUAUCCGUCAACUCCAAAUUAAAAAGAUGGGGUGAUUAUUGUGACUAAAGUAAACAACCGAGUUCUUGUGUUUAUGCUAGUUACAUCUUUGACCUACCCAGAGAGAGAGAGAGAGAGAAAAAGAAUAGUAUAGUUUAGAAUUUGUGAGUGAGCCUUAAUUUAGUAGUACAUUUGAUGCAUGCAACUUUUAAUGCUUUAGGAACGAAGCGAAUACAGUCAGUUUAAAUAAGAGUAGCGAAAUGGUUCGUCUUACUUAUCGAGUACGUACGAGUAUUUGAUUGUCAUAUUCUCCAUUUUCCUUUCCCGGUUUCAUCAUUCCUCUCCCAUUUUCCUUACUUUUCAUAUACUGAUGGACCAAUAUCGCUGGUUGAAGAAAGAACACCAAUGCAAUGGAGCCAUCAAGAAAAAGAUGUUUCAGCUGUAAGUUCAGCUAGUCAAGUUUACGCUCCAUUACUGCCAUGUAGAUGAAAGACAGGAUCCAAUUAUUGGUUCCAUUUGAGGAGCAGAAGUUUUAUCCACUUACCGCCAAUAUUGAAUCUCUGAUAGACCACUUACCCCUUUUGCUUUAAACUGAAAUUACACAAAGCACAGCUGAUCUUUUGUACUUCUGCUUCCGUGUUUGCCAUUUUGGUGAAGGGUUGCGUGGAGGGCGAUGGAAGUCAAGUGAAACAUGCAACGCAUUAAAUUUUGGAUAGCUCGAGAGAAUUUUUGAGUUUCAUUAUUAACUUCUAGAUAAAUGCAUGCUUUCUUUCUAUCACAUUUCCAUGCAUGAUGAUGGUCGACUUGUAAGCUGGUGAAAAAGAAGAACUGGAAUUGACAGCCUCCUCUGCCUACUACUCCCAGUCCCAGUUCAUCAUCAAGUCUUCUAUUGCGAUUUUUCUGUUCUCACACAUGGAUGCUGCAGCAAAUUGACUGAAAUGUACUUUUGGAGGGAUUGAAUACCACCAAAGUCCUACUAUAUAGUGUGUGUCUUUCAUCUUUUUUGACUUUGCGUUUUCCUGAUUGUCCUGGUUGAAGCUGUGACCAGUCAUGCGUGUCGAGGAGGUCUAACCAGUCACUUAUUCCGCUUGCAGAUUAUUUUUUUUCAUUCCAUCGUUGGAGAUUUAGUGCUCGUUUUUUCUUUCAUUUUUUUUUGGGGUGUUAUGUUUUUCUUCUUUCUUGCUUUAUAAUUUCAAGCAAAAUUAUGCUAAUGUUGGAUCAACCCUGUUUCUACCAAUCUUCACUAUGAUUAUUUGCCUCUGCUUUUUCAUUGAAAGAAAAAAAAAAUAUAUAUAUAUAUAUAUAUGUGUGUGUGUGUGUGUGUGUGUGCAUAUUCCGACACAAUUUCCGUAUACAAUCAAGAUUCGUAACUUGAAAAUUCAGUGGUUGUGAGAGUUCUCAAAACUGUUGCAGAGGCAAGAUUUUUGGAGACAAAAUUGGAUUGGCUUGCAUUGUCGAGGGUGAAAAGCAUUUGUUGUUAUUAUCCGAAACCGAUCUCAAUAGUUAUCUGCGGGUUAUCAUGUUUACACUCAAAUGGCAAAUUUUGUUCUUGGGAUUGAAACGUGGUCUUAAAGCAUUUCGUGGCCAUUCUAAAGACACCCAUCCAUUUCUAUCCAGACUUUGUUAACUUGGAAAUUUUAUCUGUUAAAAAUUCAGUAGGCCAAUGUUAUUUUUUGCUCUUUGUUCUUUUUCCUCGCAGACAAGUAUUACUACUUCUUCCGUCCUAUAUUUUUUGAAUGUCCCAAAAUAUUUAUGGUUCUUUUAAAAUCAAAAUUACUUUUAAUCUUUUUCUCCCUCUAAUGUUAUCUGCAUGCACCUUUAACAUCAUCAGCUAGCACGCCAUUAAUUUUUUAAAAAGUCGAAAUUUUGAAAUGCAACAAAUAAUUUGAGAAGAGGACUAGAGGAGUACGUAGUAUAUAUUUUAAGUUAGCGACUAGCGAAAGGUGGUUUCCAUCCUUUCCUUAACUUAGUCACACCUACCUACCCAAAAUACAGAGAGCUUAGUGGUGGGGGGUGGGGCUGUGGGGUAAGGAGGCAGGGGGAAGAGGGGGAUUAGAUGUCAAUGGAAUAAGCAAUGUGCUCCCAAAGCUUCAUCUUCAGGGAUGGGGGGUGCCGGCCUUUUUGGUGAAGCAUGAAUCAUGGCCUAACAUGCAUAUCCUGUCGUAUGUUACAUUCUACAAUAAUAAUAAUAUCUUGCAGGUCCCCAAAAGGAUCCAACUUAUUUGUUCAAAAUUAGUGGAGGAUAACCUUAAACGCGGUGGGAUCGAUAGACCUAUUGAUAUUUGAAUGAAUAGUAUGCGUAUUUUCAAAUGUAGCAAAGCGAAAGAAAAGGAGUUAGCAACAUGGAAUCCAAUCCACCGGCCACCAAUACUAGUUAGUAUAUGGAUGUUCUUUGACUCUAUCAAUAUAAUAUGAUAGAGCACAAGAAUCUGAAGAUUUUCUAGUAGAUUUUGGGGGCAAGUUUCCAGAAAAUGAAGAGGGAUUAAUUAUUGAGAUGCCCAAAAAAUUACAUGCACGAUCAAUAUUUGUACAUUUAUUUAUGAUCGAUCAAUGUGAAAUCUAAAGCAACUCAAACUGUAUUCCUGGAAUUCUCCAACUUGAGAAAUGAUUGGUGUAAUUAAGGUCGAAGGAUGGAGCAAAUGCCAUAUUCCGACCUACAGUUGCAAAGAGGAAAAAGGACGUUUUCUUUCUGAAAAGCAAGCAAAUUAUGCAGUGCUAUAUUAUAUAUGCCAUCAAUAUGCAUUAGGUGUUACAAAUAAAUAUCUAGUAGGCUUUCCUGCUCUCUCCUAUUCCAGUACUCACAUGAUCACGAAUUUGUACUACUGUUGAAUGACUAAAGAUUUUACAAUGUACAGCCAUAAGGCAGCAUGCAUUUGUAAAUCUUUUGCGGGGUGUAACCUUUUGGUUUGGCUCUGGAAAUAAAUUGACCACAAAAGAAAAAAAGAAGAAGAUGGAAUUGAAUUUCACAAGUUGAGACUUGCCACGUCUAUCAGUGGCUAUUUUUCCAGUUGGAGGUGGAUUACAGUAGUGUGUGUUUGGAAUCCUGGCCUCAGUCUUUCAGACACAAAAAGUGCAUAUGAGAAAUGGCAGACAUGCAACUGACAUAAAACUUUAGAACCAGAAGAGGAAUGGAUAGUUGUAUGGGACAAAGUGACUCUCAUAAGGGUUGCAGUUCUACGCUCUAGCAAAUGCUUUUCGAAAGGAUUUUCUUUUUUUUGAAGUCUCUUCCAAUCAAUGCAUGGAAAGCCAAACAAGACUACCCAAGUUGUGGUCAUGGACCACCUUGGUUUGGGUUUUGGCAGGACACGUAGUAGAGCAAUUGCUACAUCAACAGACAGGAGAUGCAUAAUAUGAGCGCUGUCUCUCCUUCCUGUACUCUUGAAAAUUUGCAUGGCUUUUCUACCCCCCAAAAAGAUUUUUCUUUUUUUUGUUGUUGUUGUUGUUGUCGUAUGCCUUUCAAAUUCACUGCAAGCAAUGAUGAUGUCUAUUUGUUUUAUUUCUCUCCUUCUUGUUCUUCUCAGAAUUUGUGGUUGAGGAUCGGAUCCAAUACGAGUAGUUGAAAGCAGCAAGGAUCAGGGACGAAAAUAGGUUCCUUUGGUUGGAACAUCAAUUUCUUCAUUCCAAAUGAAGAAACUGUUUUUCUUUAAGUGUCCACUUACGGAAAAAUAUAAAGUCUAAAUUCCGUAGUUUCUUAAUCUCUUGUGCAGUCACCAAGCUACUGUUCACAUUUCAUCUUAAAACUAACAAGAUUCAUUGCAUUAAAAAUUUAAUAUCAAUCAAUCAAUCAAAAAUAUUUCUAUUUCUAGAGGGUAUACAGCUGUGUAUCAGGGCAAUUACUAAGCUGGCUGUGGCAGUGUGAAACAAGUACAAAAUGAUUGAUAUUAGAAAGAGUUACCGUUGUGCUGCAUGGAAUUAAUUUAGAUACCAUUCAAAUUCCAAAAGGAGGAAUUGUAUUGUAUUGUUGCAGAAACUUUUUCAAGUCCUGACUUGACAUCCUGUUGGUACAAACGUGCAAGCUAACGCCAUAAACCAGGUGACCUUGAGAAUUUAAGUUGAUGGCAAAGGACGACCUAGGCAGGUAUGAUGAUGGUCUGAAGCAAUCAUGUUUGAUUAUUGUACUUUAUUAAUAUAGAAUUUACUUAUGCAUAGACGUUUUAUAAGAUCUGGCGUAUUCAAACAAAAUUCACGCAUUUAACAGGUUAAGGUAAUGUAAACCAUAAACUGCAAAAAUUCCUUCCACUGAUGUUACCGGACAGCUCAUUUCAUGAAAGUAAUGUACUCGGGUAACAUGGUACUGCGCAGAUGUUCGUACACCCGACUUUGUCAAUAUACUUAGGAUAUUGUUGAUUAUUGCUUUAAUUUGGCUUAGUACUCAGUUUUAGAUCGAUGGCGAAUUCUACCUGAUAUAUGUAAAGAUUCUUUGCUGUAUUGAAGACGCAUACGAGUAUGCAGAAACUUUCUCAAGUUCAUAAUCCAAUCCAGAUUUGUAGCCCCAUACUUGUAAAAAAAAAUUUAUCGGUUUGUUUGGAUGGAGUAUUAUUUAAAAUAUUAUUUGGAAUAAUUACUGUAGCGCUUUUUUUUAUGAUGUGAUGUAUGUGAGAUAAAAAAAUUAUUGAAAAUAUAAAAAGGCAGAUUGAAAAAUGUGGCGUCUGCAUGUUAUUUCUUGGUAGAUGAAUUUAUGUCUUCUUUCUUUAGUACCAUCGCACCAUGCACAGCAAUCAGAUCCAAAGAAUUUCCUCUCAUUGUGUACCUAUGUAUUAGUUUGAAGGGAUACAUCAUAUGUAUUAGUUUGAAGGGAUACAUGAUAUGCUAGCAGAAUAGGCUGAAUCCAUCCCUAUCUCCUUCAUCCCCCCCCCCCCUUCCCCCGGGGCGGCCCCCAACAUCCCAGAAAAAAGAAAAGUGAAAAAGGAAUAAGAAAUUAAAUUUGCAGACUGCAAAUUUCCAUCUCUUUCCGUUUAGGGACCCGCAGGGAGGAAUGAAGGACUUGAGUCUUCAUAUCAUUGAAUCACCAUGGACCCGAGAAGUGAUCUAUAUAUAUUUUUUUUCUGAUUUUUUAUAUAUCAUUUUAUCGUAAAAUACCAAAACUGAACCAUUUAUUGGUCGGGCAACAAUUUUGAUCUGUUUGGUCAAAGAAAUAAUGAACACCGUCCACUACAUCCACAAUACCAUGUUAUUCUUUGUUUAGUCUCACAGAUGGAUCCUAUAAAUGAGUGCCAAUGUUGCAAUCAAACCCUACUCGACUCACAAUCGUUUCUCUUCUAGCUCUGCAUUUGUUUCUUCACUCGAGUUCAAAACAAACUGGUAGACUUUGAUAAACGAGCAUGGAAAUGUUGUCCAAGAAAGCUACAUGCAAAUCGCAUGGGCAAGACUCUUCCUACUUCCUGGGAUGGCAGGAGUACGAGAAAAAUCCGUUCAAUGAGGAUAGAAAUCCAUUGGGGAUCAUUCAGAUGGGACUAGCAGAAAAUCAGGUAUGUAAAAACCAUAAUUCUGUCACAAUUAUUGGAAAGGAGACUAAAAAAUAGAAAAUUUCAUGUGUAUUAUAUGGCCAAUUUUUUUUCCUUUUAAUUAUUUUGGUGAAGUAUUAUAUAACUACAGUUCUGAAUUCGUUGAAUAAGAAGGAAUGGAAUUUAAGCACAGUAUGACGUACGAAAUACAUUCCAACCAUGCAUGCUUCCGAAUGUCAUCUGUUGUAUGUGGAAUCUGCUAAAUUUCCAACCUUACCAGCACACAAAUGGAAUAUACUCUUCGGAAAAGUCUGACCACAAAAUGUUAAAAUAUGAAUUUUCUUUGAGAACCAAUGUUAAUUGAGAGCAAUUUUCCAUGCAUGUGACAUGUCGUACUUAACUCCCUUUUUCUUUCUCUGUCUCUAAUUGCAGCUCUCUUUCGACCUUCUUGAAUCAUGGUUGGCAAGAAAUCCAGAUGCUACAAUGUUUGGAAGCAAUGGAGGAUCCAUAUUCAAAGAACUGGCGCUUUUUCAAGAUUAUCAUGGCUUGCAAACUUUCAAGACUGUAAUGAUUAUCAUUUCACCACAUUUAUGAUUAAUGUGCUAUGUACUUUGCUCUAUUUCCACUGUACCAGAUUGUUUGUCUAAAACUAGGCUCCGCCAUUCUCAGGAGUUGGUUGAAUUUAUGGCCGAGAUCAGACGGAAUAAGGUAAGAUUUGACCCGCAAAAACUCGUACUCACAGCUGGUGCAACUUCAGCAAAUGAGACUCUCAUGUUUUGCCUUGCCGAACCUGGCGAAGCUUUUCUUAUCCCUACGCCUUACUAUCCCGGGUAAUGUCGUCAAACAAGCCAGGAGCUUUUUUGCAGGAAAAUGAUUCAGCCAGUUCCCCCCAUCAACUGUUUUUUUAACCCCUUUCUUUUUUCCUUAUGGUCAGGUUCGAUAGAGAUCUUAAAUGGCGAACCGGGGUCAAAAUUGUUCCUAUACAUUGCUCUAGCUUGAAUGGUUUCAGAAUUACCAAGGCUGCCCUGGACGAAGCCUAUGAUGAGGCGCUAAAACUUAAUUUAAGAGUGAAAGGGGUGUUUAUCACUAACCCUUCGAAUCCAUUGGGCACGACCAUGAAUCAAGACGAAUUUAAUCAUGUCAUCAGCUUUGCGGUGUCCAAAAAUAUUCAUAUAGUUAGUGAUGAAAUAUAUGCUGGAACAGUUUUUGAUUCCUCAAAAUUCACAAGCAUCAUAGAAGCUAUAAUGGACCGGAACCUGGAAAAAACCGAUAUCUGGAGCCGAAUUCAUGUAGUUUCUAGCCUGUCAAAGGAUUUAGGCCUGCCUGGAUUCAGAAUUGGUAUGAUUUAUUCCAAUAAUGAAACGCUAAUAGCUGCUGCUACAAAAAUGUCAAGCUUUGGACUUGUUUCCUCCCAAACUCAAUACCUACUUUCCAAACUUCUUGGAGACAAAAAGUUUACCAGGCACUACAUCCAGGAGAAUCAGAGGCGGCUUAAAAAGAGACAACAGGUGCUGGUCUCCGGCCUUCAAAGUUAUGGGAUCCCAUGCCUAAAAAGCAAUGCUGGAUUAUUUUGUUGGGUAGACAUGAGAAAUUUACUGAGUUCAAAUGCAUUCGAGGCUGAGAUGGAGCUUUGGAAGAAGAUUCUUUAUGAGGUUGGCUUAAACAUCUCUCCUGGAUCUUCUUGCCACUGUACUGAACCUGGUUGGUUUCGUGUUUGCUUUGCAAACAUGUCACAAGAAACAUUAAACCUUUCGAUUCAUCGACUCCAGGCAUUUGUCACUUCCAAUGGAGAUGGAAAUUAUCAGAAUCAGAAGCUGUCCACAAGAAUCUCUAGACGAAAUUCACUAGUGGUUAGCUGAUCAUUUUUCGUCAGUUGGGGUCUUAGUAAUACUGCAUGAACAUGUUACAUGCUUGUAUUUUCGUAAAUUUCUGGGUUAAUUUCACAUACCUCCCCUGAGGUUUUUCACAAUUACAGAAAGCUCCCCUCAAGUUUUAAAAAUUACACCUACAUCCCCUAUUUUCACUAUUUUAGUAACAUUCUAGGCCCAAAAGACUAUACUUUUUUCAAAAUUUCUAUAAUACCCUUGAGUUAUAAUUCACAAUCAAAUGGUUCACAGUCUCUAUUUCAUUUAUCUUUACUUGAUAUCACUAUUACCUACCCAUCAACAUCUAAAUGACCAUUAAAUAAAUACUUAUCUUUGCUCUAAUGUUCCUCUUUUACCUAAAAUUUUUGUAUGCAGACUAUUGUAUCAACUAUAAACGCUACAUCAGAUACCCAAAAACUUACCUACAAUCUCAUAUCAAUUUUAUAUUUUACUUAAUACAUAAUAGUAUUCAUCAAUAUCACUAAAUUUCAAUUCCACGACCGCCACCUUUUUAACACAAAAUAAUUUAAACCAUCACUACUAAUAUCAAUAUCCAAUAUAUUCCAUUGGCACAGAGUUCAAAAUCAAUCAAAUUCUCUCUGUAGGAAUAAUAUCAAUAAUUGUAAAUAAAAAAUAGAAACAUAAUGCAGUUAUAAAUAUAUACCAAGAACAAUUUUUUUUUUCAUGGCAACCACAACAGUAUAACCUAUAUUUAGUUCCUAUUUCACUUCUUAUAUUUAAUUUUUAUUUUUUAUCAUUGUCACUAUCUUCAUCUCUAUCUAGUUUGGUAAUGAAAUGAGUACUCAAUUUGUCAUUUGACAAUUUCAAUUUGUUAAUGCCUAUAAAAAAAAUUGGCAACAAAAAUGGACGCAAGGAAACUAUUUAAUGAUAAUGGAAAAUCGAGAACUGGGAAUAGAUACCAAGACAUGUAAAUAGUGGUGGUUUGGUGUGAAUGGUAAUUUUAUUGCUGGUGACAGUACACAUUUGGUUGAUAAUAAUAAACGAAUGGGUUUGAAAGAAAAAUAAAUGCAGGAGGAAGAUAAUAGAUAGUUAAAUAAGAAAAAUUGUAGUUUGAAUUAUUGGUUGAUAAUAGAUGAGAGAGCCUUAAUAUUUGAAAGAGUUUUUUAAUGAGUUGACAAUUAAUGAAGGGCAUUACUAUCUUUUUAUCACACCAAAGGAGAUCUUUAUAAUUAUGUAAAUAUCAAGGGAGCCGAAUGAAAUUAUUAAAAAUUUUAGAGGAGGUUUCUGAAAUUAUCCCUAAAUUUUACUUUCUAGUAGUUAUCAAUAAUGUACAUAAGAAAAUAGCAGAAGAAGCUGCCUUGUUCGACUCAAUGAUUAUGAUGGACCAUGACUUGUUGGUAAUAGUACAGCCAUGAGAUCCGAGUAGCAAUUUCUACUUGGUGACAUCAUGUUUAUUAUGUACAAGAAUAAUUGAAGAUAUCAGAAGAACUUCGUGGUGGAUGAUUCCUGUUGGGCAUCUCGUUUCCAUGUGUGUCACGAUUGCGAGUUAUUCUCUUGGGUAUAUAUCUUCUUCUUUUAGGAAGAAAGUGAAGUGCACAACUCAGUUGUUUGUCACAAGUCAAAUACAAAUUCAACUACGCCACGACAGCAUAUGACUUUGUAAGAAAAAUAAGUAAAUCUAUCCCUUAAAGAACCAUAAUUAUAAUCCUUAAAGAAAAAAAAAAUUGAACCAGGUACAUAUCGGUGUGUUACAUACGCUAGGAGGGCUGAUGGAUUGGGUGGUUUAGGGAAAGAAGAUUAAUUAUUACAUUGAGAGGAGGGAUGAACUGAGUGGUUUAGAAAAAGAAGUGUAAGUGAUAAGUUUCGAGUUAGAUUAAUUAUUAUCUACAAUUACUGGGAUGUAUAAGAGACUUUUAGAUAUAAUAGAAUAUAACAGUGGAACCCAGACACAUUUUCAGUGGAGGCACAAAUAAAAGAAAAACCUUUUUACUUUUGUAAAUAGAUGCAUACAAUUUUCUAUAACCUAUUGGAAAAAAUUUGUAUUAAUCCUAAACAUGUUUUCAAACAAUCCUUUCAUAUCACAAACAUUAUACAACAAAUAGUGUUACAACGAAGAAUGCAAAAAAAAAAUCCAAAUAAUAUUAACUCCAACGCUCACAUAAAUGUUCAUCUAUAGGAAUAGCAGUGGAUGAUCAAGUAAAAUACAUUACCCAGGGGUAUCCAAUCCAAUAGUUAAUCUGAUUAGACCACCAAUGAAUUAUCCAUUAGAAUUUGAUAUUGAUGAGGGAUUACCAAUGAGUAGGCAAAUAGAAUUUGGUAAAAGGAUUUCAAAACUCAAUACCGGAUACCUAAUUAUAUAUAUAUAUAUAUAUAUAUAUAGUUUGAUUCUUCUUUUGGAUAUUUGCUAAAAUUGCUAAUAGCCAAAGAUAUAUUUUAAUUAAAAGUCUCAAAUGGAGAUAAUUAUUUGCAAAAAUGAAAGAACGUUGAUUUAAUCCUUUAAAAUGUUGAAUAUUUAUCAUACAAGUUCUAUGGAUCCAUGAUAGGGUAUAAUUUGUUAGUAUUUUUAUUAUUAAUUUUUCCUUUUAUCCCUGAUAAAUAUUGUAUUAAUUGUUGAUAUUUACUCAUAUUUGGUAUCUGGACUUAAUUUCAGGAAUGAAGCAGAAAAUCAUCAAAAAGGAAGGAUUUUAUGGAAAAUAGGGAGACUUCUAAGGGUUUCAAUUCUUGGGCCCUUGAAUUGGUGGGGGACCACAAGCUAGUGGAAAGCAUCUAGUCAUUUGAACUCUUAAAAGAAAGCUACGGAAAAGAGACUUGGAACAAGAAGUACUUGGAGGGAUUUGUCCACAUGUGUGGGGAUCACCUAGAUAGCCUUUAGUCAUCUUCCUCUUGUUGCUUAAAUAGGGAUAACGUAGAGUAGCAGGGACAUCUGGAGUUUUAGUCUUUUAGUUUAGUUUUAGUUUUGCUUUCUCCGGACUGGCCUCUGACACAUGCCAGGUGUUCGACAAUAUUCCCCAACGGGGAGAGUUUCUCAUGAGGCGUGGUUAAGCUUUUCUAGUCAAGGGGACAACUGACGAUUUGGUUCGACAAUUACUGUGAGAUCGAAUCUGUUUUAAUUAUUUUCUUCAUUUAUUGGUAUUUAUAUGUUCCUUGAUUUUAAUUGCUAUGGCCUUGUGUAUGAUUGAUUAGUGCGCAAUAAUUAAUUAUUCAUAUAGGCUAUUUUUGUUAAAUAGGGGUAAUUGAAUCCGUAAUUGUUCAUUAUCUCUACCUCAGUAGCAACUGGCGUAAUUGGGUUUAUGUCAGGGGAGCAUAUGAUCUAAUUUAAAUAAACCCUCGUAGCGUGUUUGUUGGUUAGGAUUGGGCCUUUCUAAUUAUUAAUGCAAUCUAGAAAUUAAAUCCUACGGUCGUACCUAGGGUUAUUUUUGGGUUAGAGAAAUAGCUAACGGUCGUACCUUAGCUAUCGAGAAAUUAAAGAAGGGUUGGUUGUUUAUCGCGUGUAUGACAACUAUAACUAAUCUAUUGCUAAAUGUUGGAAUUAUUUCUGCAUCAAUGAUCAGUGCAUGAACCAUUUCUGAUGUGUACCCUUGGCUAGAGUUUCCCCAAUCAUUUCUUUUAAUUAAUUAUUUUCUGCAGUUAAUUUAUUUAGUUAGCAUUUAAUCCAAAACCCCCCAUACUUCGGACUCUAGAAGAAACGAAUUAUCCCCAGUCCCUGUGGAUUCGACCCUACUCACUGCUAUAUACAAAAUCUGUAUUUUUCUCGAGUAGGUUUUUAUUAUUGCACAGGUUCGGCACCUGUCAAUUUUUGGCGCCGUUGCCGGGGACUGGUGCCAGGUUAAUUUGUUUCUUUUUGAGUUCAUCUUUUUUUUAUUUUUCUUAUUUAUUUUUCUCUUAUUUUUUUUAUAUAGUUUAUGGCUUCUAACACUCCGUAUUUUGGUGAUAUAAUGGAUUUUGUUUCCGGGGAAGGCGAUGAGACUAGUUUUUUCGCUAAGUUUGCAUAUUCAGAGGCACUAAACUCUAUUAGAGAAAGAAUGGCUGCUGCAACCUGUAAAAUUUGUUAUGUCAGGGAUCAUUCAACCGGUAUGUGCCCCGAAUAUCAAGAUAAUCUGAGUGUCCCACUUAAUAAUUAUGGAGAUUUUUCACCAUGGUCUCAAACGUGGUAUAACCCUAAUCCAAACGGGUAUGAUCAAGGAUGGUGGGAUAACUCCAGCUAUAAUUAUACAACAGGGCCAGUGAAUUUUCAGCAGUAUGAGUCUCCAGAAUCAUCGUCUAUGUCAGGUAUGUCUCUUGAAGAAAUGGUUGAAUCAAUAGCUACUAAUACGUAUAAAUUCCAACAGGAGACACGAAUGAGAAAUGAGAUGAUGAAGGAUGCAAUGAGUAAUCUGGAAGAUCAAAUAUGUCUAUUGACAUCCAGAAUAAAUCGAUUGGUGGCUUCUCAAAUUGAAGAAUUGCCCUCAAAAACCAUUGUUGAUUUUGAAGAAAAUGAGAGUACAAUUUGCCUGACUAGUGAUGAGGAGCUGCAAGAUUUUCAAGAAGAGAGAUGUACAGAUGCAGUUGAAAAAGAAGCUGAAAAUGAAGAAAUGAAACCCCAACCGCAACCCAUUCAAGUGAAAGAAUCCAGUGAAGAAUCAUCAAAUGUGGUGACACCACCUCCAUUCCCUAACCCGCAUUUUCUUAAUUCUUACUCCAUGAUUUCUGUUAAUGGGAUUGAUUUUGUUAUACCGGAAGUUCUUGAGUCUCAUGGCAGGAAUGAGUUAAGAAUAGCUAUGGUCAAAUAUCUUGAACCGUCGAAGGCUCUUGAUGGAGGAGUGGAUGAAGAAUUGCGAUCAAUGCUUGAUUACUUGGCGCCAUCAACUAGUUCAUGGAAGACCGUAGCUCGUGUGCUCAAAGAUUACUCCAUCUAUGAGGGCUAUCAGGACUAUGUAGAGGAUGAAGCAAUGAGACGAGCCACAAGAUUUUAUCCUCCAUGAACAAAACAUGAUAAUGUCUAGCCAAAGACAUUAAAGAAAGGCGCUCAUUGGGAGGCAACCCAAUUGUUUCUUUUAAUUGUUUAUUUGAUUUCGUGUCUUAGUUGAAAUCUAUUUUCCUUGAAUUUGACUGAUUUUGGGUGUUAAUUUUCGUUUUUGCUGUUAUGUAGGUGGCAUUUCCUCUUGACGCGGCCGCGUGAUGAAGUGCAGGAAGGGGUCAAGAUUCAAAAAAAAAAAAAAAAAAUUGCGACUCGAAGUCGCGUUUACCUGCACAGUCGCGUUUCCAUUUCUGCAAGUUUUGUGCAGAAAACGCGACUUAGAAAACGCGAGUUGGAGGCGCGUUUUCAAUCGCGUUUUAAUUCCUGCGAGUUUUGUGCAGGAAACGCGACUUAGAAAAUGCGAGUUGAAGGCGCGUUUUCAAUCGCGUUUUCUGUGUCCCAAUAAAGGUUUCAGAAACGCAAGCUUUGGAGGCUCGGAUGGUCAAUGUUGACACCAAUGUUGCCGGCAUGGCACAGAAUAUAGCAGCAUUUAUACAGCAAGCCGGGUUCUCUCCUCAGUUUCCGCCUAACCCUCCCAUGUUCUGACGACUACAGGGAAGUACCGUUGCUCUUCUCCUUUUUCUGCUUUUUCAUUUUCACAUUGAGGGCAAUGUGUGACUUAGGUGUGGGGGGGUCAGUUUGGGUGCUACAUGUUUCCAGUUUUCCGUUUUUGGGGUGUUUUUCCUAUGUUUUUAGUUUAAGUGUUUUCUAUUUUAGGUGUUGUUCCUUUAUCCCUUUUGGGUGAUUUUUCCUUGCUUUUGUCUUAGUGAAUAUGUUGGCAGCUCACUUCUUUAUUGCUAGUUGUAGUUUAUACUAUGGGUUGAGUUUCGGUGGCUAGUAAAAGCAUGUUUUCUUGGUGAAUACUUUGAGUUUAACGACUUGGUGCAAUUUAUGGCUAACUUGUUUAGGCAAUAUAAAUAUUUUGCCGGCAUUGUUGUGUAGUUUGGUCUCCUGGUUACCUUAGUUCUCCAUAUUUAGGACAUGACGCAGGCUAUGAUCUGUAAUUAUUUGGUAUCUUGGUGUUUUUUGGUGAAUAACGUAUGGCUAUACUCCGCUAGUGUCGCCACCUAGUAACCGGGAGUCUUCACCACAAAUGUCGGCUCUCGCGUCAAAAAGUGGCGAUAUCCAUGAGUAAAUAGUCCUGGAGCUAUGAAAGGUCGAGUAACUGGGCUCUUUCAUCUAAAAAUGUCAUAGUUCACGUCAAAAGACUUGAAUAGCUCGUGACUAAGCAUUAUUCGUGCAAUUCAAAAAAAAAAAAAGGAAAAAAGAAACAAAAUAGAAGAAAAAAAGAAAAUCAGAUGUGGAGAAUAUGGGAGUUUAUGAUCAUGUUAGCCUGCCGAUCCUUGGUUCGUAUUGUUGAGAUUUUGGUUGCCAGUUGACUUAAUUACUGACUGUUGCUAGUUAAUAUUUGGAUUUCCUACGCGAAUUAGCCAUGAAUUGGACAGGUCUAUGAACUUAGAAGCUAACCGAGUGAGAUCUGACUUGACACUUAGCCGUUAAAUCUUGAUUUUUUGGUAUAAGCACAGCUGGCAAUGAAAGCUUGAAUGCUAGCCAGUUUUGAGUUGAGUUGUCCCCAUGCUUGAGGGCAAGCAUGAUUCAGGUGUGGGGGGAAUUGAUAGGGUAUAAUUUGUUAGUAUUUUUAUUAUUAAUUUUCCCUUUUAUCCCUGAUAAAUAUUGUAUUAAUUGUUGAUAUUUACUCAUAUUUGGUAUCUGGACUUAAUUUCAGGAAUGAAGCAGAAAAUCAUCAAAAAGGAAGGACUUUAUGGAAAAUAGGGAGACUUCUAAGGGCUUCAAUUCUUGGGCCCUUGAAUUGGUGGGGGACCACAAGCUAGUGGAAAGCAUCUAGUCAUUUGAACUCUUAAAAGAAAGUUACGGAAAAGAGACUUGGAACAAGAAGUACUUGGAGGGAUUUGUCCACAUGUGUGGGGACCACCUAGAUAGCCUUUAGUCAUCUUCCUCUUGUUGCUUAAAUAGGGAUAACGUAGAGUAGCAGGGACAUCUGGAGUUUUAGUCUUUUAGUUUAGUUUUAGUUUUGCUUUCUCCGGACUGGCCUCUGACACACGCCAGGUGUUCGACAAUAUUCCCCAACGGGGAGAGUUUCUCAUGAGGCGUGGUUAAGCUUUUCUAGUCAAGGGGACAACUGACGAUUUGGUUCGACAAUUAUUGUGAGAUCGAAUCUGUUUUAAUUAUUUUCUUCAUUUAUUGGUAUUUAUAUGUUCCUUGAUUUUAAUUGCUAUGGCCUUGUGUAUGAUUGAUUAGUGCGCAAUAAUUAAUUAUUCAUAUAGGCUAUUUUUGUUAAAUAGGGGUAAUUGAAUCCGUAAUUGUUCAUUAUCUCAACCUCAGUAGCAACUGGCGUAAUUGGGUUUAUGUCAGGGGAGCAUAUGAUCUAAUUUAAAUAAACCCUCGUAGCGUGUUUGUUGGUUAGGAUUGGGCCUUUCUAAUUAUUAAUGCAAUCUAGAAAUUAAAUCCUACGGUCGUACCUAGGGUUAUUUUUGGGUUAGAGAAAUAGCUAACGGUCGUACCUUAGCUAUCGAGAAAUUAAAGAAGGGUUGGUUGUUUAUCGCGUGUAUGACAACUAUAACUAAUCUAUUGCUAAAUGUUGGAAUUAUUUCUGCAUCAAUGAUCAGUGCAUGAACCAUUUCUGAUGUGUACCCUUGGCUAGAGUUUCCCCAAUCAUUUCUUUUAAUUAAUUAUUUUCUGCAGUUAAUUUAUUUAGUUAGCAUUUAAUCCAAAACCCCCCAUACUUCGGACUCUAGAAGAAACGAAUUAUCCCCAGUCCCUGUGGAUUCGACCCUACUCACUGCUAUAUACAAAAUCUGUAUUUUUCUCGAGUAGAUUUUUAUUAUUGCACAGGUUCGGCACCUGUCAAUCCAUUUAAGUUUAAGACUCAACAUUGCAUGUUGAUUUAACAUGAAAUAUGUGUCAAUUUAGUUGGAUAAAAGUUAAUUUCCUUUUCUUGAACAAUUCAAAUAAGGGAAUAGAGAGUAGCAAAUAUAUAAUCCGACCCCGUGAGCAAGAGAGUUUGAUAAUGGAAAUCAAAAGCGGUAAGGUUGAUAGGAUUUGGUAAUAGAUUUAGAUAAGUAGAUAGGGAUUAAUAAAAGACUUUUACCAGACUAUCCAACCCCGCUACCAUUCCUAUUCAUGUAGCAAGUAACAAUAUACAUAUUGGGCAAAAAACCUCAACGACUAUUGAAUUAUUAUUCGCAUCGACUUUUGAUCAUCAAACAAUUUUUCGUGUCAAAUUGGCAAUUAAACUAACUAAUUAGCACAACCGUGGCCAUUUCAUGGAUUUUGGCUCUUAGCCUACAAAAUAAUCAAAACGCCUAGGGGUAAUUUUAUCCACAACUAAGUGUUAAUUAUAUUGGAUGAAAUUUGAAUUUGCUGAAAAUACCACAUGCACUGAUCUUGAAGAACUGCAAGAAAUAGGAUCAGAUACAUUUAGUACUGUUUAUCUGGAAAGAGGAAGGAUGCAACUGUUGCCACCAAAAAAAUUUUUUAAAAAAAAACCUAUUUUGCUAGAACUUAAUGGAGCAAGGGUAUAGGAUCGAGUUAGUGGUGGACAAAAAUACCCUUGGGUGUUUUGAUUAUUUUGCAGAUUAAGAGGCAAAAUUCACAAAAUGGCCACGGUUAUAUUGAUUAGUUAUUUCAAUGGCCAAUUUAUGAUGAAAAUUUAUUUUAUGGUCAAAAGUCGAUGCGAGCAAUAAUUUAAUGGCUACCGAGAUUUUUUACUCUAUAUAUGUUUAGCACAUAAAAUAAUAGGACGAACCACAUGCUUUACUACAUAAAAAAAAUCUCAUUGUUGGACUAAAUGAAUUAUUACUGAUUUAAUGAAUUAUUUCCAUUGGAAAAAUUAUCAAAUUACUUGUGAGGAGAUAUUUAAAUUGAUUGAGAGUAAAAAACAAAAUUUUCUUUACCUCGUGGGGGACACAUGCACAAAUUAUAAGAGUGAAAUCAAAUUUUCUUGCAAACGCUAUACCUAAAAUAGUAAUUUUCUUUUGCUAGUGUGGUCUUGCCACCUUUGGCUUGCAAGUAGCUCCGCCCUUGACAGAAGAACUAAAGCCACGUAGAGAUUGUAGUAUUUCAAAGUCAAGUAAAGUUGCGUUUGACAAAAUUAGAAUCUAAAAUUUGAAUCAAUUAAAUUAUUAAAUUAUUAAGUAUUAUAUCUAAUAAAUUUGAUUAUAUAUCACAUUCAGUAAUAAGUGAGUAACUUAUCAUUUAUUUUUUGAAGUAAGUUUUGUUUAGGAAAUUCAUUGCCACUUUAUUAAUUUGGAUGUUCAAUUUUUGAUUAUCAAACACGUCUAAACAUAUUAAAAUUUGAAUUUAUUAAGUUUAAAUGUUGAAUUGAAUUAUUAAACGGGGUCUAAGUAUAACAAGUCUUCACGACAACAAAACAAGCACGUGCCAGUUACAUGCUACUAGCAAGCUUUAUGUCUAUGAAUGAUUAAAAAAAAUUUAAAUUUUAGAAUAAAGUAGAAUUUUGUACAUUUAUUAAACUCAUGUCUCGUGCCACGUAGAGAUUCGAACAUUUGAACUUAAGUAAUAUACAAUUAUCACUGGACAGCAUGAAUUUAUAAAAAUUAUUAAAGAAUAAAAUAAUAAAAUAAUCUUAGAAAAUGACACAUGCCAGAGCAUUGAAAAAAUAUCUUAACUAGUGAAUAUGUAUAUAGAUAGAUUUCCAAUCUCUAAAUUAAAAUUAAAAGAAAUUAUUGAGAUAUUCAAAGCAAAAUGAGAAUUACAACCGAAACCCCAUAAUUUCCUCAGACAUGCUAAACAUCUAUUCCUUGUAUUAGAGAUCUGAAUAGUCCUAUCCUCAUCACAAUAGAUUCAUAGAUCUCAUUUGACUAACGUAGGAUUGAAUGGCCUAUAAUUUGCACCCUAACACAUUAAUGAUAUACUACUAAAUUGUGAUGCCGCAAGCCACGUGCUACAAUCCCCAAAGUCUUCCUACCUAAGGGACCUUGUGGUUGUAGCCUUGUAGGUGCAUUACGCACAUAAUCAAAAUCAUACUCCCUUGAUCCCCCCCCCCCUCCGGGUAUAUGUUUAGGGAUACGUGCUUUUUAUAUAUGUUACACUCUAUAAAAAAAAUUUUCUUUUUGUUUCACUUUGAUACUCUAUGUCGUGUGUUGGUCGAAGUAAAAAGGCAAAAAACAAUCCCAUUAUAUUUGUAUUUGUGUAUCAUUAAUGAAGGAUAUCAGGGAAAUUUCAGAAUAUAAAGUAGUUAGAAAUGUCAAACAUGUCAAAUAUUUCGGGAUAAUAAUAAAAGGAAAGUAUGACACUUUCAAUGAGGCGGAAGGAGCACUUGUUUUCUUUAAUGGACACUCAUUAACAAAGAUUUCCGAUGUUAGUUUUAUAAAAAAAAAUAAAAUCAAUUUGACAAAGUAUUUAAAUGAGGAAAAGCUAUAAAUAAAAAUGCGUGCAUUCAUAUAAUAAAUUAAGUACAAUUCAAAUAUAUAAAUGAGUGAUCACGGGGAAAAUUCCUUUUUCAACAUAAUUUUCAUUCUCUUAGGCGUGGAAUCGAAAUUUUUUGCAUUGUUUUAAUUCAUCGACAAUUUAUCUUUUUUUUCUCUCUCUCUUUUUAAUGUUUUAGUUUAUUAACGAUCUAUGGAAAUGAACUAGACGGGCUUUCUAAUGUAGCACAUCUUUCAUGAAGUAGAUCGAGAAGGUACCAACGGAAAUGAUAAUUUGCGUGCCAAAGCAGAAUUCGGAGCAAGCCUUUCUGUCAUUAUGCUUGAUGGACACCGCUUUGUCGGUUGCAAAAUCCACGUAAAGGCGUACACAUGCGUGCUACUUGUUUCUCUAAAACAUUGAUUGAUUGAUUGAUUCAUUUAAGAGUGCACUUAUAAUUAAUUAAUUCUGCAAUUGAGAUUUAUCCAUCUGUUCUGUGAGUCUCCCACGCAACAUCACAGAUUUGAUGUAUUAAACAGGGUGUUGAUGACUUCCUUAAGUAAGUAAAUAACUUUCUAGAGGGUUCAAAUUGUUUUUCAUAUUCAAAAACUCAGCAAAUACAAGAGCACAUAGUUCAACCGACCGAAUAUAUGAGACAGACAAAAGAUCAGUCCUUAGCAACAAAAGAUGACUGUAUCUUGAUAUUCAGAUUAGUUUGAAGUGACUCGUUCAACAUGGUUCUGGUAUCUUGGUAUAUUUUCAAUAUCUCCAAUUUGGAUGGUUAUUUUUUUUGGAGUUUUUAUGACAAAAAUAUAAUUGUAACGAUUUGAUGGAUAUAAAUUAAAAAGAUGAUUAAAAAAUGUAAAAAUUUUCUGAAUGAAAAAUUGUAAUCCAAAUUAAGGCCGUUGAAAGGCACUUAAACUCUCAAUAAUCUCAGUUGUUUGAUCUUUUCUAAUUUAAUUAUUUUUCACUUAAACGUCUUAAAGAUUCAUCAGAUGUUGUGAUUCUUAAUUGAUAAACGGAUACUUGUUCUCAUCACACUAUAACCUUAUACAACUUCAACUCUAAUUUUUGUUUCUGAACACAUUUUUUUAAUUAUACUUUUAUAUCUCCAAGCAUUUUUUUCAUCUAAAAAUAAAAAAAAAAUUACUUUCGAAUAAUCUUCAAUGGAAAUGCAUUCUAACUAAACUAGUGAUACUGUGAUAAGUUAUGUAUAAAUUUCAGAGAGGUAGGACUAUAAAAGCAGCAUUUGGCAUGAUUUUUUUUUUUAAAAAAAAACAAAAACUGAACUUAUCAUCAAAAUUUUUUCUCGGGGAAGAAAGGAAAAACACAGAAAAAAAAAGAGACAGUUGGAGAGGGCAGUUUCUUUCACUUCAAUCGAUUUCGGCAGUCCACUCGCUUAUUCAUUGGCUUCCACGUGGCGCCUCCGUUGGGUCCGCAAAUCCUCUACCCAAAAUAAAUAUUCAGUAGACAAAUCGACGCAUUUCAUUGUUCGUACUGCAUGAUUUUCAUCCCGCGCCGAGACCCCCAUUCUCUCUCUCUCUCUAUCCUGGCUUUCUCGAAAAGUUUAUUGGAAAAGAAAAAUAAAUUCAGAUAUUGUGCGUAAAUUUGAGUCUAGGGUUUCCAUUUCUCCAAUCAUUCACGCAUUUGUUGAAGUUCAAGCCAAGUCUCUCGUUCUUCUCCUGCACGGCUAAAUUUCCUGUCCAAUUCCGGUUACAGGUAAUAGUUGUUUAAAUCUUUGUAUCUUUUUCUUCGUUUUAGUCGGCAACUUCAUCACGAUUUGAGCGUUUUUCAUUUUUGGUAGCUUUUUCUACUGAAUUUUUGGUUAUGCCGUUUGCACUGCUUUUUGAAUUCUUUUAAUUUAUUUAUCAGGUAAUGUAAAUUCUAUGUAUAAGAAUCGAAAACUGCUUUUUGUGUAAAAUGUUUUUUUUUUUGGUUCUACACAGUUAUGUUUAGAGUUUAAAGUAGAGUUGAGGAACUUUGCUUGAAAUUUGCUCAGGAAUGAAUUUUUCUUUUCUGCAUGAAUGUAAAGCAGAAGCAGAACUUACUCUGUUUUGUGCGUUUUUAUUAAUGUGACGUUAAUUAUAUAAUUUAUGCGUAUUCUGAAGCCGCCAUUAGUUGUUAUCGUGCAAAAUUGUGAUAUUGGCAUGUGAGUAUGAAUUUGAAGCACAAUGUUUUCCUUUUUUUGCUUGGUAGUUAUUCAUUUAAUUGAAAUCAUAAGUAGAAUUGCCGUGUAAAAUUGUGAUGAGAUUAGCACUUUUUCUCUUAUUUGCAGUUUGGAGACGAGUGUCAGGAAUUGCUGAUUGAUGACCUUAUUUGUGGCAAUUUUGUUCUGGGGGAACAUUUUGGAGCCUAAGAGAUGGUAUCCAUUUUAUUGAAGCUGGGAAAUGAGACACGUUUCUGUAUUUGGUUUUAUUGACUGAAGAUGUACUUAGCUGCUCUAUUGACUUCUGCUGGAAUUAAUAUAGCAGUUUGCGUGGUGAUUUUCUCACUGUAUUCUAUUCUAAGAAAACAACCACGGUUUAUGAAUGUCUACUUUGGUCAAAAGCUCGCUCAUGCGAAAUCAAGACGCCAAGAUCCAUUUUGUUUUGAAAGGCUAGUUCCUUCCGCUAGUUGGAUAGUGAAAGCCUGGGAAGCAUCUGAAGAUCAAAUUUGUGCUGCUGGAGGAUUAGAUGCUCUAGUAUUCAUCCGGUUGAUUGUUUUCAGGUGAGUACAUGUUCCCACAUAAUUUGUUGUGUUUGAAGUUCAUAAGAUUACUUUAUGGAUGACAUAUGCUGAAUUCUUGUCAGCAUUUUUGUUUGAUUGAUUCAUUCAAAUCAGUAUUUGCUUAAGCUACAUUGAAAACGUGGAUUCAGAUUUGUUUUAAGUAAUUUUAUGAGCACACUUCUUGUUUCAAAUGUAUCUAUGAAUGUUAAAAGUCCAAAGUUUGUUGAUCAGUGUAGAUGAACAUGACUUGAAAUAACACUGUACUCCUGAUCUGAUGGCAAAAGAACUUUCAGAUCUCAAAUAAAUUUGAUGGAAGACAAGGAAUUAGUACUGCUUCAUAGAUAAUGAUGAGGAUUUGGACUUCAAUGUUAAAUUUAUGCAACUUAACUACUUUUGUCAUUUGCACAUAGAAUAUUUGUUUCACUUGUUAACCGCACGUGUUCUUUGGGAUGCCUGAGCCCUAUAUUGGAAAAGAACUUCUAUGCUUCAUCUGUACAAUUGUAUUACUUGGAGAUACUUACAUCUUUUUUGCUAAAAAUUUAGCUUCUUGCUGCAUAUUUGUGCUUUGAUCCAAUCAUUCUCUUGAUUUUAUGAACAUGGUUAACUGAAGGAUUAGAGGUAAGUGGUAGACUGGAAUAAUGGAUGUCCAGCUUUAUGAAGGAGGACAAGUGAUGAAUGUGCCCCUUAACAUUAUAUGCCUCAAUUGGGCAGCACAGAUUUACAUGGUCACGAGUCAAUAGUAAGUAGAGUUGGCCAUAUUUAUCUGAGAAUGAUUGACAUUUCAAAUAAACUUUAUGCGCUUCAGGCUUGGGCCAUGAGAAAGUAGGAUAAUAUGACUUUUUAUGUAGUACAUUGUCAUGGUGAUUUGAACUGAAGGCCGGUUUUUUGAAUUUUGUGCACAAUAAGUGGUCUUCUGAUAUUUUGUGGUUGGUUUUUUUUUUCUUUUUUUUUUGCUUAGAUGUCAUUGUUUAAUACCUUGAAGCAAUACUAUUUGGUUCAUAGACAGGGUGUGAUGGGAUCAUUUAUACCAAGAUUAGCUUUUUUGAGAUUAUUUCAUCUAAAGUAGUCAUUUUAUAUUGAAAAAUCGUGGAUUAUUCAGGGGAUAUCCCAUGGGUAGCCCAAUAUUGUGUUUGCUAAGUAUAUGGUAGAAAUGAAUUCGAUAAAACUAAAAGCAUUCAUAGCAUUGCAUUUGUUUAUCCCAUCAAUUUGUCAUCCAAGGAUAAAUAGUACCACCUUGCCCUGGGAUUAUUAUAUUAUUACUUGGAUUAAAGAGGAUGACUUAUCCAUGUGUAAAUUUCACCCCAACGAGGGAGGACUAGGGUUAGUAAUUUUAUCACGUGUCAUCACUUGAACCAAAUGGAUGUUAUUGCUGAUAGUAAUCUCAUGUUGAGGAUAAGAUGUAAGAUGCAACAAUGAACCUGGAUAAAUUUAGUUUUUGGUGGAUUUCCACUUCAAUGCUUGAAAUGGUAGGACAGAGUAUUUCCUUCGUAGAAUAGCCAAUAACUAAGUCAAGUUAAUGUUUUGGCAAUUCAUGAAACUGAAUAUAUGCCAAACAUACUUGUUUUUGCUGCAGUAAACUUUUGACUGUAUCUGGAGAAUGCUGUUUACAAUGUGAUUUCUGAAACUGUUUCUGGAGAAUGCUGUUUACAAUGUGAUUUCUGAAAGGUUAGGUCCGUCAAUUGCCUAUCUAUGGUGACAAAUGGGUUGUGAAAACUAUAACAUCUUUUAAGAUUUUGGCUCUUCAUUUAGGAACCAUUAUUCUACAAUCAUCCCUGAAAAAGUAGGUGAUUAUCUACUUUUUAUUAAUUGUGUGUUUUUUUGCCUUUUUUUUGUGUUUUAAAUGUCCAAAAGCUAGUCAGCUAUGGAUGUUUAAAUGGGUUGGGUCAUUGCAGUUUAAGUUCUAUGUGCGAUGACGGCUAAUUGGUCUCACUGCCACAUGUUUUUCUUUUGAAUUAAACAAAAUGAGGAAUUAGCCUUUUUGCAGUUUUGUGCUUUUACAGUACAACCAAUCUGUCACCGCAAGGCAUUCAUUGAUGAAGGAAAAAAGUUCAAUAUACGUGAUGAAUCAUUUUGAUCAUGAUGUGUCGGGGAAUGACAAGUAUAAUAUCCCUGUUUUCUUAAUUCUAGUUUAUAUUUGAAAAAUUGUUAAAUUUUAAUAAAACUGUUUUGAAUAUCAUAAAAAAUAUGGGAUAUUCUUCUAUUUUCAGGGUAGAGAUCAACUUCCUAGUGGUUUGUGAUUUUAGGCUUUGUCAUUCUUCGCAUGGAGAAUUUGGUUUUGUUUUCUUGGAUUAUGUGCUUAUAUGUGCUUAUUUAUUUUCCAGUAUCAGGAUAUUCUCCAUAGCUGCUACCAUAUGCAUCUCUCUUGUGCUUCCACUUAACUAUUAUGGACACGACAUGGAGCACAAAGUCAUUCCAUCGGAGUCGCUUGAAGUCUUUUCCAUUGCAAAUGUUCAGAAAGGAUCAAAAAGGUACAAAAGAUACUUCAAUUUUUAUGCAAUUAGGAUUGCUUGCUCGUAUUAAUACAGAUGCCUAGUUCAUGAUAUUGCAUUCCAUAAUGUCACCACUAUUCAUCAGUAGUUGACAGUGAUCCAGAAAGCAGAAAUGUUCAUGCUUCGAUACAGUCAAUACUGAUGCUUGAUUAUAGACGGAGUAAUGCUCACUUUAUUGUUAUCCUUCUUCUCUUGAUGAUUUUUAGAGAUUGAUGGUCACUAUUGGGGAAAUUGCAUAUGUACCAACUUUAGCUCAAAACUUGUGUUCUUGCAGUUAUAUGAAAUUGCCUACUUGAUGCUGGAACCUGCAUCCAGAAGGCUUGCUUUUGGUCCAUAUUUUUUCUGAAUAGGAUUUUCUUCGCAUUUGCUUGGCAGAAAGUUCUUUUGUAAAACUUUGGUCAUACUAAGGGAUUGCACUAGAUAAGCAGCUUGUCUUAAUUGGAAUUUUGGACCUUGAUUGAAUAUGACCUUUUCUUGAUCCAUGAUAUACUUAGUUUCCUGACUAAUUUAUCUAUACGCAGAGAAAGAGGUACACAUAAAUUUUUCAUGCUUCAGAGUUAUUCUCAAUGGUGUUCCUGACUAAUUUAUCUAUACGCAGAGAAAGAGAUACACGUAACUUUUUCAUGCUUCAGAGUUAUUCUCAAUGGUGUUCUUGACCCAAUUAUGAUUUGUACUGUUUUUGUUUGCUUAUGAAACUUUUGUUGCUUUUUAUUUCGAUACAGAGCUUCUGACUUCUAGUUUAUAUCCAUUCACAGCACUUGGGCCCACUAUGUUGUGCUAUACAUCACAAUCAUGUUUUUUGUGCUGUAAUUUUAUGUUUAAGAAAUGCGUGUUGCAUUUUGUCCUAAUGUGGAGUAUCUGAUUUCAAGUAUAUAUCCAUUUUCAGGCUUUGGGCCCACUGUCUUGCACUAUAUAUCAUUUCUUGCUGCACUUGUGCUCUUCUUUACCAUGUAAGGCUGAACAACAUAAGUAACUAGUUAUUUGUGGGAUUACUUAAAAGUUUGUUCAACUGUUUCCUUGAAAUUCUAGCUUUUAAUCAAAAGCUUCCAUGUUUUACUUCCAGGAGUAUAAAAGCAUCACAAAGUUGAGGCUCUUACACAUUACUGAAGCUCUUUCUAACCCGAGUCACUUCACAGUUCUUGUUCGUGGCAUUCCGUCGUCUCAAACUGAAUCAUAUAGUGAGACAGUGGCCAAAUUUUUUAGCACAUACUAUGCCUCGAGUUAUUUAUCGCAUAAAAUGGUUUAUCAAUCUGGUACAGUUCAGAAACUGAUGGUGAGAUAAAAGCUUCAGUAUACUGAAAAUUUUAAUAUUGUUUGUAGCUUUUGAAAUACAUACCAGGCUUUCAUUUCAUUUUGUUGGUGCAAAAGGAAUAUGGAAUGUUGAUUAAUAACUUAGCUGUUUUGGAGUCACCAAAAUGUUUUAUUUGCUCGUAUGUAUACAGUAGAUAUAUACUGUAACUUCUGGACUAGAUAAUGCCAAAAAUUCAUAAUGCAAAUAGGCCUUCUAUGGUUCUUCCAAACAGUUGAUAACGAAUUCCACAAGUGCACUUUUUUGUGUUACAAACUCUAGUCUCCCAUCCUUAUAUUUCUUAGCAUUUUAGAGGGUUUGAUUUUGUACCUUUUGAUAUGUCCAUGCAAGUUCUUUCCCUUACUGUUUUUGACCUUUAAUUAGCAAGAGAGAAGUAGAAUGUGCAUUUAGAAACCACACAGUUGGAACACAUUUUUCACGAAUGUAAACUUCAGCACAAAGAAAAUAUUGGACCAAAAGUAUAAAUAAAACAAAUGGAUCAGUAUAAUAUUGUUUUUUUUUUGGGGGGGGGGGUGUGUGUGGAAGAAGCUGUUGUUGCAGGAAGACAUAUAAGUAGGAUACCAACAAGAAAGAAAAUGCUAUUAAGAUUUGGAAAUUUGUUUGGUAAUCAUACAAUAUUAUAUUUAUAUUGGCAUUUUUAACACGCAUUAGUGGUGCUGAUGAUGCAGGCUCGUGUCAGUCACUUACAUCUGCACUUGUAUUAUUCUAUACUUCUCUAUUCAAUGCUCAGUUUUGUUCUUUGCCCUUUUUACCUGCAGAGUGAUGCAGGGAAGAUGUACAAGAUGCUCAAGACUUGUACCAGAGAACAACAAUGUGGCCCAAAUUUGAUGAGAUGUGGUCUUUGUGGAGGGACUACAUCAUCUUUUAAGAUGCUUGCCAUAGAGUCUCAAAAUGACAAGGGGAGAAGUGACUUUGAUGCAGCAGAUUUGAGAAGAAAGGUCCAAAAAUUUUACUUUAAACGGAUAUCCUUGGUGCUUUGCGCCUGUAGAUAUAUGGUUAAGACAGAAAUAGAAGGAAAGAAGACCUUUAGUUUUGAAUAAUCUUUCAGUGUGGUGAUACCUCAUUUCCAUUUUUUUUACCCUUUCGCUUUCCUAAGUAGUUUCAAGACUCCUGGUAGAAAGUAUACAUUCAUACAUUCCUAACUUAGUUCAGUUUGAAACCUAACAGAAAUAUAGCUUGCAACUACCAAAUCUUGAAAGAUUUUGUUUUAACCAUAGACAGAGAUCAAGCGAACCUGCAACUGUGUGGGCUUGUCUAUUUACAACGAGGAACAUAAGAAGAGUUUGUACAUGUGGAACUAAUUUCAGGCGGUCUGGAACCUGGCAUAAACUUAGUUUGCAUUAACCAAAAUGUUUGAGAAUUCUAUCUUGAACAGUUUGGUUUUGAAGCAUAGGUAGAGAUUUCCUUGGAAGAUUCUUGCUUAAUGUACUUUCUCUAUGUUGAUGAAUAGAGAACAGAAAUGAUACAUUGCAUGAUGUGCAUCCAGCUUUGUUCUUUAUGUCUGAAGGAUUUGCUAGUCUACCUCUCUACUUUGAAUAAGCCCCUGUUUAUCUAUUCCUAGAAUCCAUUUGGGGCUCCAUAAAAUAGAAGGAAACCGAGUUGUUUAUCCUGUCUUCCCUGCUUAGGAUUCUAGGGUUUAAUGAUGCUUCAUUCAUGUAGAAUUUGGUCCUUGUCGUGUGCCUGGUCUUAAAUCUCCUGGGCUAAGAAUUUAGCCUGGCCGGAAGUAUUCCUCUUCCCUCUCAGUAGGACUUUGCUUUCAUGUCAACCUCAUUCUAUGGUUUUUUUUUUUCUUAUUGUGCUACUUUCUACUAUGUGUAGUAUUUUGUAAUUUAUGCCAUGACAUGCUUUUUAGUCCUUGUUUUCUUGUUGAAACUUAACUACCAAUAGUUUGGUUAGAACUGCAUCGUUGUCUGAAGUAUCUCUAUCUUUCCUGCAGGAAUGUGGUGCUGCAUUUGUUUUCUUCAGGACCCGCUAUGCUGCUUUGGUUGCCGCACAAUCUCUUCAAUCACAAAAUCCCAUGAAAUGGGUGACUGAGAGGGCUCCGGAUCCAAAAGAUGUCUAUUGGACGAACCUUGGUCUGCCUUAUAGAAUCCUUUGGAUUCGACGAAUAGCUAUUUUUGUGGUCUCCAUUCUUUUUGUUGCAUUUUUCCUCGUGCCUGUUACACUAACACAAAGCCUUGUGAACCUUGAUAAGCUGCAGAAUACAUUUCCAUUUCUGAAAGGAAUUUUAAAGAGGUAGGAUUUGGACUUGGAUUUGGUUUUCGUAUACUCAAGUUACCAGCUAUGCAUGACGGUUGUUGAAAUUCUUUUGGUACAGCUAGUAGACAUAUAAUGUCUGUUUGUUGUUUGGAAUCUGAAAUUUGUGAUAGGCUGUGUAUGGCUGGAAGAUAUAUGAAAAUGAAAAUGCAGGUUGACUGGAGAUGAUCAGUCAGUGGGAAUAUGGACGUGACAUCAUUGAACCAGCAAUUUGUGCUUUUAGUGUUUAUUUUUUGGCCUUUUACUUGGAUAUAGAUAAUGUUAGCUGUUAUAUUUCUCAUUUAAAUGUUAGAAGAAGGGUUUAAUUUAAAGGAUUCCUAGAACAUAAAACGGAUGUGACUUCUUAUCCUUCACUUGCUUUUGCAGGAAGUUUAUGAGCCAGCUUGCUACUGGAUAUUUACCAAGUGUCAUAUUGAUGUUAUUUCUGUACAUGGCUCCACCACUUAUGCUUUUUUUCUCUACCAUGGAGGGUGCUGUCUCUCGCAGUGGCAGGAAAUUGAGUGCUUGCAUCAAGCUUCUGUACUUCAUGAUAUGGAAUGUUUUCUUUGCAAACAUUUUAACGGGGACCAUUAUUAAGAAUUUGGUCGGCGAAGUUACUCGGAGAUUGCAAGAUCCAAAAAAUAUUCCAAACGAGCUUGCCACUGCCAUCCCAACAACGGUGAUUUUCCAUUGUUUCUCUGUUUCUUAAAUUUUCUGGCCUUUGUAAAGGUCAAGUAAUUUACCUUGGUCUUGGAAAAUCAUUAUCUUAUGCAAUUAAAAGGGUAAUUGAUUUGUAUAUUUGUUUAUGCACUUUUGGGCCUUGGAGAUGAGUGCUUUUCUUAAUGCUUCUCAUGAUGUAAUUGAGAUUGGUCUUGAUGAAAGUAUUUGCUUGCACAGAUCGACUUCUCUUUCUAGAACUAUUUAGUUUGUGGAAAUUGAAUUGAUAUAAUAGCUUUUGUCAUCUUUGUUCAGAAAUUUAAAUCAAUCCUAAGAAUAUAUAUAAUCACCUUAAAGAGAUAUCUAUAGAUUGUGAUCAUUGAUAAUCAUCUUAACAAUAUGAGAUUUGACAUAUUGCAGGCUACCUUUUUCAUGACUUACAUUUUGACAUCCGGUUGGGCAAGUUUGUCAUUUGAGAUUCUACAACCAUUGGCCCUGAUAUGCAACCUUUUCUACAGAUAUGCUCUCAGAAACAAAGACGAAUCAACCUAUGGGACCUGGACUUUUCCUUACCACACAGAAAUUCCAAGAGUUAUCCUUUUUGGAGUUAUGGGCUUCACCUGUUCCAUAAUGGCACCUUUGAUCUUACCAUUUUUGCUAGUCUACUUCUUCCUUGCUUACCUUGUGUAUCGCAAUCAGGUUAGCUUUCCCUCUUAGUGGACUAAGGAGUAGGCUGUCUCCGGUUUUCACUUUGUGUGAAUUUUCAGGUCUACACUCGUGUGUGAAUGAUUUAUACGUGGAAGUUGUUUUCUCUAUUUAUUCUUUUGUUAUCAGUUAGUAAAUUGAUACUUGUAUAGAUAUUAAUCUAAGAUUUUUGUAGUGUGCAUGCUUUCUGUCAAUUUCUUUGCAGCUUCCAAUGCAAGUUAUUUAGCAGUUGUCAUUACAUGCUUGCCGCCUGCCCAACUAUUGCACAUAGAGCUGUUUUCUAAUGUUUAAUGCAAAUUCAAGUUAUCAAAUCACUGAUUUGGGUAAUGUAGUAGGACUAUGGUCACAAAAGAGUGUUGAAACUUAAGCUGUAAUUCAUUCUUUAGAAUAACAGCCUUUUUUUAACCUGAAGUUCAUUAUGUUUCUGUAGAAGCAGCUAGUCAACGUUAUUCUGAGCUACAAAUUUUUGGUUUGUCAAAAAAAUGUUCAUGGAUGGGCAUGUUUAGCAGUAUAAUCAACUUCUCUGGUGAAUCUGUAUGUAGUUGGAUGUGCGUUACAGAUGGAUAUGUUUAUUGAGCUUUGAUAUCAAGUACCAAUGAUUGUUUAGGUUUUAUAAAAUGCAUUAAUUCAUGAAUUUGUGUGAUGGGCAUAGAGCUACUCGUUUUAGCUCAAUUGCUUUGUGAUCUUUUUCGUUGUUGCCUUUACCAUUUCAUGCUUGCAUUAUGACCAUCUAAUUAGUAAAAUGCUGUAAUGAUGUACCUCUCAGAUUCUUAACGUGUAUGUCACUAAAUAUCAAACUGGAGGACUCUAUUGGCCAACUGUGCACAAUGCUACAAUAUUCUCAUUGGUGCUGACGCAAAUAAUAGCUUCCGGAGUCUUUGGAAUUAAAAAAUCCACUGUUGCAUCCAGCUUCACCUUUCCGCUGAUCAUCCUUACACUACUGUUCAAUGAAUAUUGCCGGCAAAGGUUCCUCCCGGUAUUUAAGAGGAAUGCUGCAAAGGUAACUUGUAGUGGUUGAAGUUCAUUUUUAGAGAUGCUCGUGUCCUAUUAGUGUUGUGUCUGCUAAUAUGUGGUUAAUCCAAAGGUUCUCAUUGAGAUGGAUUGGCAAGAUGAGCAGAGUGGAAUAAUGGAAGAGACUCAUCAGAAACUGCAAUCAGCAUAUUGUCAAUUGACAUUGACUACUCUUCACCAGGAUGCAACCUUGCACGAGCAUCCCGGCGAAACAGUUGCUAGCGGGUUGCAAGACCUAGAAAACUUAGAUUCAGGUUUGGUUAGCUUAAUUAGCACCAUACCACAAUCAAGUCAUUUGAGUGGCUCUGGAAAGGUAUUUAUCGUUGUCCUGUUCGUCUUGCAGGAAAGACUCAGACAUCUGGAUUAUGGGCUGGGCAUUCCUCACCAGAAAUCAAAGAGCUUCAUGCGAUGUAGAUAGACGUAUUUCUUGUGUGUACAUUAGUUGUUUGUCAUGUACAAAAUGAUGUUCAUUGGAAGAUCUAUACAAUGUAAGGCAAAAAAUAUAGGUGUUUCUGCUGUAAAGAGCAACAUCAGGUACUCGAAGAUCUAUACAUUGUAAGGCAAAAAAUAUAGGUGUUUCUGCUGUAAAGAGCAGCAUCAGGUACUCGAAGUUCUUACACAUUACAACCAAGAAACUAGCACCAUUUCUCAAUUAGCAAACUCGUCCUCGAGAAGAUACCUCACUUCCUUGGGUUCUACUACUAGUUGUCACAAAGCUUAUCAAGAAGCUACUAUUGAUAAUAAAUCCUACUUGUUAACUCCUAUUAUAACAUCAAGUUCCAGCGUAUCAGUCAAGCAGUUUGUUAUAACUGAAACUCAAUGAACAAUUAUCAGUAGUUUUACAAGGCAAAGAUCUACCACGCUCGAUGGUUGGGCGCAAAAGCAGAACUGAGAUGUAGAUCAUCCAUUUGUAGAGCCCGAUAUUUCCAUUCAGAAGUGUAGACUUCGUGUAUAAGAAUUUAGGAAUUGAACAAUCAUUUGAUCAAUCCGAUCUAGUAAUCUGCACCUCGGAAGAACAACCAUCCUCCAAAGGAACAUUGUUUGCAUCAUUUCCCUCAGGCUGCAACGAAGUUCUCCAUUGCCAUAGGAUUUGCAUCAACCCACCAUUUGCAGCAUGCAACAGAAAUGACUGCGGCUCAACUGCGAUACAUAUGGCAAAGAUCCUAACUAGAACAAAGAAGCAACCUAUAACCAAAAGCUGCCAAUUCUUGCCCCUCUCCUGUCAAGCAGAUAGUCAAAUAAUAAGCAGCAUAUCAAAACAGGCAGAGAAAUGAUAAAGUUAUGAGUUGUGAAUCCAUUACCUGGGUGGAACGAAUAAGCUCGUGAGACGUUUCGUUUAAAAAGUCAGCCACUACACAACCACAGAAAAGACCAAUGGGAAUGACUAGCUCCUUGUUUUUAGAGAUAGAGUAUAUGAAGUCAGACGCAGAACUUAAGAUGAAUAAAGCCGUAAGAGACCACUUCAAUGCCAACUGCCCUAAAGCUAGCAGAUGCUGCAGAGCAGCAUUCUCUGCUUUUGCCCAUGGAAAAUUUUGGACCGAGGGAGGGAUGAACUCAGAUAGUUUCUUCACAGCAUAAUCAAUGUGCACCUUGAACUUGGCAGGCUCAUUGAACCAUUCCAUUCUGAACGAUUUCACUGGAUGACAAGCAGAAAUUCGGCAAAUGGAUACUUGUCUGACUAAUGGGCCUUGAAGUUGACAGGGCAGGCUUUUAAACAACAUAAUCUGAUUCAAAGAAGAAGAUGCAUUAUGUAGUUCAGCUCAUUCAAAAAAAAUAUUUGAUUCAACACCUAAAGGAUUCAAAUACAAAGAUCCUAAUUGUAAAUGAAAACCACUUGAUACUACCAAAAGAACACAUUAAAAGCACACAUUCACUUGAAGGCUCUCUUACCUUUUUCAUUAUAUAAAUGUAGGAAUUCCAUCCCAAAUGACAUACAGAUUGCAUUAUGUGAAUACUUUCUCAAUUCUGAGGUUGCAUUUGGACAAGUCAUUAUCCUAUUAAGGUAUCAGAGUGGGAAUGCAGGAUCCACUAGUAGCUUUAUCUUCUUAACAAAUUUACAACUAGACUAUUUUGGUCAUUACUCACUUAUAGUCAAAACAUCUGAAGCAGAUAUCUACAGCAUCAUUGAUGCUCAAUUUUUGGCACAAUAAUUUUUUUUGGGGAGCAAAAGUCUUAAAGCUAAGAGAGUUUCAAAAGUAUUGUGUGUCAUGAAACAUUCCCAGUUUAGUAGAAAACUACAUCUAUGCUAACUAGUUUCACCAAAACCAAUAUACAAGUACCAUUACUAAUUCUUACUUGGUUUAGACAUACUACACAACCACGCACAAGGACACGCCAACACACAUGUAUACAAUCUCCUUAAAUUUCUUUUCUAACAGAUGUAAAGCUAGACUCAUUUACAUAAUGUUAUUAUUCUAACCAAAAGCAUGUAAAUUUAUCCUUUUACUUGCGUUCCACAAAAAUAGAGAAAUUGAUCUCAACUUUUCAAUUGAUUCCCAUAUCCUCGUCUCUCUCCCUCUCUCGACCAUAUCCCUCAACAACAGAACCCUCAUUUCUCCCUCUAUCAUCUGAACAAAUACGCUUCCCAUUCCUCAAAAAUCAUCUUCUUCUCCCACGCUCCCAGAUUUAAUACCAAAAUUCAACCAGAGCCUAAGUUCCUCCACCCAGUUCAAUAACCACAUGCUCAAAAUAUUUAUUGUAGAAAGCAUCCGUAGAUACAAUUCAAUCAUCAAACUAAGAUCAAACCAAGACCAAUGAUCAAGAAUACACUAUUGGGCUGAAUAGACGCUACAAACUAAAAUGUUAAGAUAUACAUAUAUAUAUAUAUAUGGCAGCGGCACUCUGACGCUGUUAACAAUGAAUAGGUGAUAACAGCAGCUGAUUUGUUAUGGAGAAUUAAUAAAUAAGAGAAGCCUCAAAUUUUACAAGUGAAAAUUAGUGUCUAUGGACCUGUCUGGUGUUUUGUUUAAGAAGAAGUCAAUAUUAAUAUUGACUUUAAAGUCGAUUUUCACAUCUCCUUCUAUAUAUUAAGAAAUCAAAUAAACUUUCAAUAUUUAUUUAAUCUCGAAUUAUACACAAAGUAUUUUCAUAAAGAACCCUGAAAAGCAACAUAACAUGAAUUCAGCAAGCUAUCCGAAGGUAGGAGCAAAUUAAGGUGAACGAGAGUUCAAUCUCAACAUGACUAACAAUAAUAAACGUGUCAGAAAGAACUACAGAGCAUGAAAAUGGUCAAAAGCCUCACAGAAAACAGCAAUGUCAAUAUUUUUUUUCACUCCACAUUCUAAAGAACCACGCUUUCUCUUCACAAGAAAAGCAUCACAAGCUACCAAGUAUCAAGAAAAACAUAGAAAUUACAUACCAGAACUCAAGAUAAGAAUGCAAGUCAGGAAUUUAUUCAAUUUCCUCCAACACACACACACACACACAAAGUUGGACAGAAAACUGAAAGAACCCACGAAAUAUUUGAGCUUGUUUUCCGAAAUUGAAAAUUGUAGCAUACAAAGAAAUGCUCAACCAGUAGAACUUCAGCAGAUAGUGCACCAUUUCCAGCUGUUAUAAAAUACAUGUCUUUUUGACUACCUAGUCUGUCUAGCCCGAAAAAUUAAAAAUGCUAAAAAUAAGUAACUGAAAAAGAAUAAAAACCAAAAGCACUCAUAAGGGAACAAACUAGUUUUACCGGGCAACUUGACGGAGAGAUUGCCGCCGUCGAUAACGCCAUUUUUGCUGCUAUCUCCGCCGGUGUUGAUCAGGAUUCAUUAGCGGCAUCGUUCUCACACGGUAUUGUGGAGUAUUUGUCUAUUGCAACUACCACAUCUUGCCUUUUUUAUGUGGGCCAGAAGUUGUUCCCUCAUCUUUGACCCAAAAGGUGUUCUGUUUACAUGAUGAGAUUGGUCGGGUCCAUUUUUAUCUUUACAGUUGUUGGCCUUGACCACUCUGUAAUCUUCGACCCGACAAAAGUCUGGGCUUGGUACCUUACGAACAGGCCAUUCUUAAAAGGCCCGGCUUUUGCUUUUUGCGGACCAUGAACAUUGGAUUGGGGUUCAUCUAAAAUACGGCACCGGGCAAAAUUUGUAGAUGCUAGGUUACAAAAUUGUGACCUGAAAGUCUAUAUUUUUUAGGGAUAAUUUCAGAAACCUCCCUCAGGUUUCUAACAAUUUGAAUCAUCCCUGCUAAAGUUUGUAGAAUUACAUUAACCUCUCUAAAUAUUAUUAAAGGGCUAUAUUAUUAACCUUCAUAAAAUCACGACCAAGAUUUUUAUAGAAAAUUAAAAACAAAAACAAUAUCUCCUACGCACUUUUUUUUUUAGUAUACUAAACACCUCGUUAUAAGAUGCAAAAAAAAGAAUAAUUUUACAUUGAUCAUCUAGUGAUUUUUAUCUACAACAAGCAACUUUCAAAUCCCAACCAUGUGCUCAUCCUGUUAAAUUUAACCAGCCUAUUAUGAUUUCAUUAAACCUCAAAUCUGCACAAUUGAUUUUUAUUCCCAAUAAUCCAAUCGUCAAAUCCCAUCAAUUUUUUUCUCUUAAAUAGGGGUAUUUUUUCUUUUUACAAAAUAUUAACCUAUUUAAUUUCUUUAAGAAAUGAGAUGGGAGUAACAUAAGGUAUUCAUUAGAUUAUUUGUGUUUAUAUCAUCAAUUGUUACCUAGCCAUAUAUUUUAACGUAGGUUUCUAUAAUUAUUGAAAUUAAGUGCAGAGACUUCAAUUGUCAAAACCCUCAAGGGUGGUUUUUGAAAUUAGCCCAAAUUUUUAACACAAGAAAAUAUCUCAAACCCUAGUGCAAUAUAGCCCUAUCCAUUUCUUUCAAAUCUGAUGUGCAGUGUAUAGGUCUGGAUCUACUGCUUGGAUUACUCUGUCUGACACCAUACGGAUAAGGGUUUUUAUUAGGCUAGCUAGUUUGAAUAUACACAACAUCUGAAAAGAAAAUGAUUUGAUAUUGGAAUAAAAAGAAUCUUUAAAUCAGUCAUCUAAGAAAGAUUAAUCUUUUUUAUUUUUUCAAAUUAAGGAUAAUGAAACGAAAAAGAAAACAUCCGUGAGAAUACUGGACAGAAUUAUCAACCAACAGCGCACUUUCAAUUCCUAAUUAAAUAAUCUGAGUCUAGCAAUAGAAUAGUAGUUUUCUCUAAAUAGAAUUCAGAAUUUUCCCUAAAAUUAAGUAUUUUUAAGCUUAAAAAAGAAACAAAUUGAGCUCUUACAAUUUUGACUAGUACCGGCACUUAUGCCACCCAUGCUUGCCACUACCCUUGCAUGUUCCUCAAGCAAAUCCUCCUUUACCUCAUCGCUCUUGUUUUGUUUUGCUUGUAUCAUUACCUCUAUUCAUUAUUUUAGCAUAGCCCUUAAAUUGCUUCAAAAAAAAAAAAAAAACACAAUGCACAAGACAACAAAUGUAUCAUCUACAUUGUUCAAUACUAUAUGCUGCUUCCUUUUGAGGGGAUGAAAAGUUUAUUAGCCAGACAGACCGUCACGGAACUGUAUUGGAAAUGCAUGAUUGCAUAAGCAGUGCUUUACACCUAUAAACUAAUGGAAAUCUCAGUACCCUUCGUUUGAAAUUGAGUGAAGGCCAUUGACGGAUAUCUUCUUCUCCUUGGAGAGAGAAUAUAGGCCAAUUCUUUAAUCCGUUUUAGGUCCUUUCACUGCAUUUUUAUUUGAUGAACCACUCUAUCAGGUCCAAGAAUAGGACAAAUCUCAAGGAAUUUCUCAUCUUAGUGAGUGUCAUUAUCAUAAAAUAAACUAAAAAUUCUACAAAGAUACAUUGCUUAGCAUCCACUAAUUUAAAACUAGAAAGGUGGUGGGCAUAGUCGUCGUUUGCCUCUUGUCAUUGCUAGGGUAACCCUGCUCAUAUACCUCUAUCAAGAGCCUUAAUUUGGUUUUUAUUACCGUCACCAAGUUGCCAGAAUGUGCCCAUCAGUAAAGUCAAAUUUUGAAAAUUUGGUCUUUUGUUUAAGGCUCUUUCUGUUCUGUUCCUUCUUACCAAGGGAUAUUCCUUGUCACUUUACAGAAAUAAGCGUGUUUUGUUUGCAUACAUAUAGUUAAUUGUAAAGAAUUAUUUUUCUGGUUACUUGCAUAAGCAAUGCUUUUUUCUUGGAUGUUUAUGGCAGCUUAUCUGUAUUCCUUGGGGUUUCUUGUCUGGAAAAAUUCUAUUUGCUCAGUAUUUUAAGCAAUAAAAACAAGGCACAUGACUUUCUUGAAGAUAGGAAUGUACGGUGGAAUUGCAGAAUAUGAACCUGCUGAAUAUGCUCAAUAUUCCUGGAUUUAUUGGAACGUGACACGGGGACACCUAGGACACAUUCUAGGGCUUCCUCUAGCUUGAUUCUUUCUUUGAAAAAUUUUUUUUUUCCCAAGAGACCGCCACUCAAGAAAGAGCCAUAAAAACAUUGGCAGCAAAAUAUCAUAGCCUUUGCUACGAGGAAUUGUGUCUCAUUAUGUAUGGGGUCGGUGUUCAUGGAAGCUAGAAGUGUAAAUUACCUACCAGUUCUAAAUUAUGUCAACAAGUUUCUAACAAACCGUGACAAUUGCUUACCAAACAAAGGUUAGUAGCAGCAGCAAAGGUCAGCGCAGGAAAUAUAUAUUUGGUCCAAAGUGUUACAACUGUAAACAAUUUUCUUGAUUGUUUUGUCAGCCAUACAAAGAAUCCAUGUAAAAGUUCGCUUUUAUUAAGACCUCCUAAAGUUUAGAUCAAGAUGAACGCACAGGAUAUUUUCUAGAAUUGCAUUAUCAUGAAGAAUCUAAUUGCCUUUUGAAUGCGAAAUGAUCAAUGUGAAAUGAGCUACUGUGUGAUGGAUGCCUUUAUUUCAUGCUUGGAUCUCUUCUCAGUCUUUGUAUGGCAAGAAUGAAAUAAAAGGAGUAGGAGGUAUUUUGAAGAGGAAAAUGGGAGAGCUGAACUAGGAAAGAGAUGCUGCUUUAAAACAAGUGCAACUUUACACAGAUUCUAGAACGCAUGCAUGCUAGUGUUGGGGAUUAAGACUGAAAGCAAUAUUAUGUGUCAUGAAAUUUAUCAAUCGAUUGAAAUCCCUCACUCGCUUAAGGAUCUAAUUAAUACAUGUUGAACUUUGAGUGAAAGGGGAAUUAGAUGAUAUAUAGUUCUGUUCAAGAUUGUGAGGAAUUUUGUUUUUCCUUCUUCCACAAAGGUUGAAUCUAUCGCAUCUUACACUUUUUAACAAAGAUUUUUUUUUUUUUUAUUUAAAAACCCACGAUAGCCAUAACGCACAAACGAGGAGAAAAUUUAGGCCAAAGCUUGUUUUUUUUUUUUUUUUGUGUGUGUGUUAAUAACAAAAUAAUAAAAAACUAUGUGAAAGUGGUGGGAUUAGGCAUAGAUUCUGACUUGUUUAUUAAGACGUGUAAAAUAUCUCCAACAUGCUUCAUAUCAAUGUCAAUUCUCGUUAAUAACUGCAAUGUAAUUUGCAAUUUGGAAACAAAUACAUAUAUAUAUUGACCAUGCUCUCAAGCAUAAUGGGAAAACAUGUUUCAUUGAAGCAGUUUAAUGUUGGUAGAGCUUCUUCUUCUUAUUAUAUAUAUUCUACUUCGUCACUUUAUUAUACACCGUGUUCUUCUUCUGGAUAUUACAAGUCACAACAAACACGUAUGAUAACCUUCUGGACAUAGCUCAAUUGGUGCACAAUUAUACUCGUCUAAAUCUUAAUUGAUAAGCACGUUACUGGCGUCCUGUAUGCAUUUGUAUGAGAAAAUUAAAGUAUAUAAAGCCAUCAUGUCUCCAUUUCAGCCUCGCGAAUGCAUGGCUGGCUGGAUACACAUACAUGUUCAUGCCAUGCAAGACCUGCUGCUACACACAAAAUCCAGUAUUCCUAGCUGUGUAUUGUAGAAAGGAAUUAUACAACAUGCAAGUAACUCGAGGGUCGUACAAAUUAGGAUUUUAGCAACAUCAAAUAAAUCUGGAGACGAAUAUGCACAGUUUCAUUGUGCUGGCUUGAUACGGACAACUAGCAAGUAACAACUAUAUGUCAACCUAAGUUUAAGCUAGCUGGUGAAUUUCUUCUCCAUCUCUGAAUCACAAAAUUCUCCGGAGCUGGUUAAUUAAGGGAUUAUUCCAAGUCAUUAGGAUAUGUACGGAAUUACACUCAGGGAGAGAGAGAGAGAGAGAGAGAGAGAGAGAGAGGAUAAGGCAAAGCAAAUUAAGGAACGCGACAUUGUUGACCUAUGGGUUGAAGCUGGAUUAGUGUUAUGGUCCUAGUAUCUAACAUAGGAUUCUAGGUAGUACCUCCUAACUCUAUGUUAGCCUAAAGGACAAAAAACAUAAUUUACUUGGUAGUCUAGCACUUAUCAGACUCCAUUAACAUGUUAGAAUUCCUGCCUGCUUAUUUAAUUAAGACAGUUUGAAGAUAAUGAUUAACCUCAAGAUUCUCAGAUAUCUUUGUUCUUCUCAAGGGAUUGCUAGGUUAUAUAUAUAUAUAUAUGGCUACAUGACCAUUUUUAUUUCUUGUGAGAAAAAAUAACAAAUUUAUGUGAAUGAGUACCGAUAAUCUGAUAAUAGCUGAAUCACCUGAGUAAUACAAGAAUGAUUUAGUGUCAUACAAAAGAAAGGCAAAGUGAAUUUAAAGACUGAGAGGGCUACUUUCAUGGUACAACUCUACUACAUACUCUUUGAAGUUACUAGUAAUCAACGUAUAGACUUUAGAAUCAGGUAAUAUUCCAAUUAAUUCUACAACAUCUUUUCCAAGUUCCAAUGAUUUCAAAUGAUCACAAUCAUUAAAUUUCUUCUAAGAUAUCAUAGAAACAAAUGGCACUAAAAUAAUGAAAGAAGUUUGAAAAAUAGCCUACUCCACAAAGCUCAACCAAGUUGUUGCCAAAAUGUCAAAGGAAUUUACUUUACUAGUUAGGUUCAUUUUGUGGAGGCCACAAUGGAAGUUUGUGAGAUUUUUCAGCACAUUUAUGUCGAAGGAAAAACCAGCACUAAUUAAUUUGCACUGCUAGCUUCACCAUAUAGUUCAGCAGAAAAAAUAUACUCCCAAGCAACUUUUCCAUAAGAUGCUUCAGCCGGAGAACCAAAUAAAAAUCAAUUAUGCAUCCUGAGAAAACGACCCUAGCUUCCAAGUCCUAAGUUCUCCCAUUUCAACAUCAAGACAACUAGAUAAUUUUAGUCCAAAUGGACUAAAUGAAAGGAAAAGAACCAAAUUUCUCAAGAAGUUUAUUAGGGUUUCCGAGACAAUUAAUCCAAAUUCAAUCUCUCGUCUAAUAACACAAAUUUACAAAUGAAAUAUGCACGAACUUUAUCAUGGUCCAAGGUACCUCAAUUGAUCAAUUGCACAUUCUUGCAGCGUCCCUUGUUGAAGACCCUCAUAGCCGGAAGCAACAGCAGGAAGUACCAGAGAAUUCAUCUCCCCCCAAUCUGAACUCCCUCCACAAGUAUUCCCGGUCCUAUGAUUGAUCAAAAUAUCUCCGCAUAAGAACUCAAGACCAUCUAAUCUCUGAGGAUUGUUACAGAUCAUUUGCUCCAGCCCAGCUUGAAAGCUGUUUUGUCCUUGUAAAGUUGACAAAUCUGCUGCAUCAAUGGUGUAUAGCGUUUCUGGCAAAGAUGAAGUUGUAUUCAAGACAUCCAGGGGGGCAGAAGAUAGCAUAUUAAUCUGCUGAUCAUAAAGUGGUUGAACUUGCACCAGCGAAUUGGUACUAUCCAAAGGAUACUGAAGAUUGGUAUUCAUGGUGCCAUUUGUUGGUUGAUCAUCAUCGUCAGAAAACCUUCCUCCAAGUUUUAUCAACAACUUUCUAAUAGAAGCAUGGUCAUUAAAGCGUGGUUCUUCGUUUGAGUAGGGUACUGGAGGCAGUACAGGCAGCUCAGGCCAAUAGGGACUUUGGUUACUGUUAUAAUCAGAGGAAGAAGAAGAAACCAUAUGAUUAAUAUUUUCCCUCAUCCCCUUUCGCAGCAUUUCUUGCUUUUGGCUGGUACUUUUUCGAGCAUGUUGAUCCUUUCGCUGCUUCCCAAGGAGCUUCUUCUUCAGCCUUGUGUUCCAGUAGUUCUUUAUGUCAUUAUCAGUUCUUCCAGGUAAUUGUGCAGCAAUAAUUGACCACCUGUUUGUGCAAAUAAAAAAGAAAUGUUUAAUUCGGUAAUGGAAGAUACUACUUGCUUUACUCAACCCUUGUCCUAAUUAAGAAGAGGAAGACUACGGAACCUUAACUACGUCCAAUUUGGAGUAGUUAAGAGGUUGAAAAUUGUUAGGAAAUAUGCGACUUACCUGCUUCCAAUACUAAUAUAGAGGCUGCAUAUGAUGUUGUCUUCUUCUUCAGAGAAUCCUCCAUGCUUAAUGUUGGGACGAAGGUAGUUGAGCCAUCGAAGGCGACAGCUCUUUCCGCAUCUCUUGAGGCCUAAUUUUAGACACAAAACUCGUACAUCAAGAUGAUCAUCAUAUGCAUUAGAAAUUAGAAAAUCCAGUUAAGCAUAUUACUGUACUGUACUUAGGUUGAAGAAAUUAAACUUGAAAAUCAUUGAAGAUCUUUGCUAGCUACGAACCGAUUUUCUGCGGCAAAGCAAUCCAGUUGCCUCCAGUUCCAUGCUGCUCAAUAUAGGACUUCAGCUUAGCAUCUUCUUCGGGCGACCAUGGCCCCUUCUUCACGUUGGCUUUGUCACAGCAUGGAGCUCUUCCCAUUUCUUUUCACUUCUGCUUCUAAGCCUAACCCUUUUCCCUUCUUCCUUCUUGGAAUACUAGUUUUGUGUGUUUGUGUGUGUCUGUGAGAGAGAAAGAGAGGGGGAGAGAGAGACUAUAAUAGCUGGAAAAGGAUAUACAUGUCUCCUGGAGCAGCCAAUAUGAUUCAGAAAAUGAGGUAGCAAAAAGGAUGAAAAGAUGGAUAGAAAAGUAUAUGCCCGGAUAGGAAACCAGGGUUUUUCUUCUUGUCUUUCUCAUUCAAGAAUCAUUAUAUACAUUGACUGUAAAAACCAGUGGGGAUGUGCGCCCCAUAACCUUAAUUACUUGCGUUGGAAAAUGAUUUACACGUUAUAGGAUGUGUGUCAUGGUCCUAACCACGUUAUAUUUAUAGCUUUAAGGAGAUAUGGUGUAUCCACAUCAAAUAACAGCAUGAUGUUUACAAUUACAUAAUCCUUCCAAAUGGAACAGUAAUGCUCUCAUUCUACUCAAUUUUACAGCGAUCUUAACUCUUCUGGCUUGUGUAGAUUUACCACAAUAAUUAAGGUUAACGGGGGCUUCCUAACAGUUUCAUGAUGGAUGGUCCAAAUUGGAUGCGGAAAGACAUAUCCAGCUGCAGAUCUGCGGAUGAUAAAUUUUACAAGAGCUUAAAGCUGGAUUGUUUUGUAUUUUGCUGUUAUCUACAUAUAGUGCACCAAUUUGUAGAUGGUAAAAUAAAUAGUACAUAAAAAAUAUUCUUUAAAAAAAAAACAAAUUAAGCCUUGACUUGUACGAUUUAUGCAAUUAAUCAAACAUAGUACUUAAAAUAAGUACUUUGUAUCUUUGGGAUCAGAUAAUCAUAGCUGCUGGUAUAUAUUGCACAGGAAUCUGCAGAAAUGCGGGAUUAUUCAUCAAUGUAAAUGUGAAUCUCUUGCGUAGUAAAAGUUUACAUGGUUGCGUGAUAGGCCAAGUCAUCAAGGUAAUUACGGUAUUACCCACCUUCCAUCCUCCCUAGUUUUUUAGAGGAAAAACUGGGAAAAGGGAUUGUACCACAUUGCGACUUGGUUAAUGAUAGUCAAACAUUGAUAAUUUAUUCUUGAUCAUAACAACAUAUUUCAAACUCCAUCGGAAAUGUGAGAAAAAGCAUGCCAAUGAAACUUUUCUCCAAGAGUCAAAAAAAUGUUCUAGAACCAAAAGGACGAGACUUGAACAAGUGGAAACCAAAAUAUGAAGCAAGAAGAAAUUGCCCUUUGAGUAGGUGACCAGAGACGACCUGCGAAAAUGGAAUAUUACCCUAUUAGAAAAGUUGGCCAAGUCAAAAGUAGAGGACGCAUUGAUGCCAUAUCUUGAUAUGGUUCAUAUUUCUUCUUUCUUGUACCCAAUUCAACACCAAGCCUAAAGUUAGUAGUUAUCACUGUUGAGAAUGUAAUGUGUUUGACGGAAAAUCAUACAAUCAAUGCCACAUCUUGAUACGGUUCAUAUUUGUUCUUUCUGAGCAACAGAGCCUAGAGUUAGUAGCUGACACUGUUCAGAUGUCUUGGCAAAAAAUCAUACAAUCAGAUUCUUUUAUUUAGCAUGCUCUGAUGAACAAAUUGUCAUUGGUGAAAAAAAAGUUUGUCCGCAACGCCCGAAUUUUAGUUGUUAAAGGCUCCAAAACCCCCUAUGUCGUCGAAUGGCAAAAUCCACCCAAAACGAGCCAUUUGAACAAGGUCUUUUUCCUUUCCCAAUUGAUUAUUCUGGAAGAUAUCAUGUUCUCAACUUUUAUCUCUCAUCAAAGAUAAUAUAUAGUUUAAACUUUUAAAUAUUUUAACAAUGUUUAAUCUAAGAGUCAAUAUAUAACACUUUUUUCAUCAUCAUCAUCAUCAUCUAAUGCUGAAUUUCACUUAUCAACAUGAUACCUAAAAGGCACUAUAGAAUAUCUCCUGAUUAUAUGUCGAGGAGGAAAGUUAAAAAUAAAUAAUCGACUUGGGGAUGAAGUGAAAUAAUCCCACACGGGCACUGAGGGAGUAGGGGUGCGGUGAACUUAGCCGUUUUGAGGAGCUCAUUGUCACAUCGAUGCAUUACAUAAUUGACUUUAACGUGGGUGUUACAUAUGGUCUCCAAUUCUUGUCAUAUAUGCCAGAAAAAUCAUAGAGCUUCACAAAAUGGAUGUGUUUUUUUUGUUUUCUUUUCGUUGGUUGGUCUCCUAAUUAACCUUCAGGCUGAAGGCUUUCUUUUUCUUGGUUCUUUUCUUCCUUUUUCAUUGCCUCGAUUGCUGGAAUCUUUUAAGAUGACUAUCGAUCCCAUAUGAUUUGUAAAAUGGGACAUACAUGGUAAGGAAUUAAUUACAUUAUUUAGCAACUUAAAUGGUAAAUUAUAUCCUAUCUAAUCAUCCACUAGAAGAAACAUUAGUUUAGUGUGUAUCAAAUAUAUAUCUAGCUAGACCUUUUUUAUUAAUUAAUUUAUUUAAAAGUGGCCUCAAUAUCUCAGUUAGACAUAACGUGAUACAUAAGAUAAUUGAAUACCCAAUAAUCAACACGUCUUUCAAAUACUUUCUAAUAUUAUUAUACACUUUUUCCCCUUGAAUUAAUGGGCAUUAUGCCUCUCUAACGACGUACUGUUGUUGAAGACUAAUUUUAAUUUUGAAGUCAACUGAUGAUGCUAAUUCCUAAUGCUCAUUUUUGUACGAGUCCUUUCGAGCAACUUAAUCCUACCUUCAUAAAGGCACGGGGCCUUGGUCGGCAAGCCAAAGAGUUCAAAGUCAAGUUCUGUUGUGGUAGUACUCCAGUUUUUCUCCCUUUGCGAUUUCUCUCUACAUUUUAGAUGAAAUACAAGAUACUAGCUCCUUGUAAGGUUUUUAUUAUCUUAUUAUUUAUAUAUAUAUUUUUUUUCUAAUUCAAAGGGAGGCUCGGAAGUCGGAACUGCUCGCGAACGGCUCGAGUCGUUUGCAACUCUACUCGGAACCUUAAUUAUAAAAAGAAAGGGGGGAAGAAGAAGAUUUAAGACUUAAUUAAUUAAAGAGCUUGAAGUGAUCCUGGCUAAUGUCCCCAUUAAUUAUAUACUAUAUUGGUUCUUGAUGACUAUAUAACAUCCAUAAUGAUUCUGAAACUGUUCUUACCGUUUCCAGACUGCUAUAAAUUUUGACAAACGUAGUCAAGUUAGCUGUCAAGACAUGUACAUGCAUUAACUAUUUAACAACCAAUCAAGACUUGUAGCAUUAAUGUUUAUCACUUGACGAGAGAGAAACAGGAUUACGAGAGCAUCUUUGAACGACUAUGCUAAUAAAGUCGCUCGCUUUUCUUCAUGGACCUAUACGCUUGAAAUAUAUCUAUCAAAUUGACCGAGUUAAUAUAUAGUCCAUGACGAUUUCCAUCUCCAGGCAGUUUUAACUUUUAUCAUCUUGUUGUAAGUUGUUUACAUGAGCAAAUCUUUUACCAGUCUUUUUUGUUUUUCGAAGCUCAUCAACACUGCUACCAUUUUCCGUGCAAUAUCUACUACUAAAACUUUCGAUGACUACCACUACUUUUAAACAGAUACAUAUGUCAUUCAUGCUCACACCCUGCGUGGACCUCAUCAAAAGUUAAAAGUAGUACGUACUUGGAUUGGUAUCCGAGAUUUUUUCUUGUCUUUAAAAAAAAAAAAAAGAUUAAUAGAACUUGAUUAGCAAGUUUUACCCUUAUUAUGCACUAAAUCGUGUACUUGCAGAUGCGUACAAGAUAUUGGGUCAAUUUGACUGAAGAGAAAUCAUACAUUGAAGGUUCUAGUACAAAUUACUGGAUCUGAGAGUCUAAGUUUGUUCCAAAACUGUCAAGAUUUCUGUUAUGGUUAUUAAUAGCAGUCACAUUCUUACCAGCUGUAGUGAUCAUGUAUGUGGGAGGAGUAGUGCAAUCAAUCAGCCAAUUUUUGAGCUUAUCAAAGAAUGCCACGAUGCUGUGGAUGCAUCUUGUGAGCAGAUCAUACAUCACCAGUUUCUCAGCCAUUUUUCUAAUGGUUGGUGUAAGUUCGGUCGAUUGGGACUAUUAGCAGUGACAAUUUUCUGAUUGAUGGAUUAUGAUGGAGACGGUUGCUAAUUGAGUAUUUGAUCCCUGUUUUCUUUCUUUUUCAAUGAUAAAAAAGAUAAGCUAAUGCUGCAAAUAUCACGCAUUUUCUUCCUUUACAUCGUCAUUAAUCACUCUCCUUGUGCUGGGAGACGAUGUAAUUAGACUCCAAAACUAAACAUGCACGUCGAGUUUUCUGCUGCACUUUUUUCUACACGUAAAUUUCCUUCUUUCUCCAAAAUUAUUUCCAGUGGCUUUCGUAACUUGGUGUUCAUCAUGAUGAUGUCAAGAAAAUAUUAUUCUCUUACACCAAAUUUGGAUCCGCCUAAAAUAUAAAAGGAAAAACAAGAAGUUACGCACUCUCGAGAGUUUGAAAGUUACAAUUGUUUUUUGAGUUAAUCUUAUACGCACUGACUCAGAGUCUAUACAUUAUUACGAUUAGAUUCUUGACCCAAAUGCAAAAUUUAAAUUUCAAAUUCAAAUUCAGAUUAUGUAUCAUGCAUUCAACGGUAAAAGUGUAAACACUGUCGCUGUAUAGAAAAAUUAAUCCUUGCUCUUAACCACUAAUUCUCUCAAGGUUAGGCUAAUUCUCUCAAGGUUAGUGUUUUGUGGAGGAUGAUUUUGGUGCAUGAUUUUUUUACUGCACCUUUAUAAGUAACAAUUCUUAACUUUUGUGGAUGAUGAUUUUCAUUAUCUUUUGAGGUGGAUGGGGUGUCGGCCAAUUUUUGGUUUUAGUCUAUUGGAAAAACUUUGGGCUCCAGCCUGGUGAAAUAGUUUUCACAAACUAUCAUGGGCUGAUUUUUAACAGCUGCACCAAUAAAUUUUGGCGCGUCGAAUCUUAAGUCUCCAACUUCCAUCUGGAUUCAAAUUCAAUCAAAAAAGAUUAUUAUUGAGAACGCCGGAUCCAAUUUUUGUAGGGAUGACCAAUUUUCUGUGGACCAUUCACGUAAUAUUCCUGAGUCCAUGGGCUAAAAGCUUGAAGUAUAGCUAGAGUACGGGUGUAAACAGAACACAGGCCAGAUCUUCAGGGUCUCAAUAUGUGGUUACAGGUCAGGGCCCGUCUAGAUCCAAAUCCAGGUCAAGAAUAUAUGGAUUUUGAAAUUAAUUUAAUAGAAUUAUUUUCCAAUAGUUUUAAAAUUUUAAUUGAACAUAAAAUGUAUCAAUACAAUAUUACCAUUUUUAUAGAAGAUCUUUUCUAGUAGAAGAUAAGUGGGUUUGCAAUAAAUUUUAAUGAAUAUAUAAUUUUUUAUGAAAAAAUUUAUAUUAAUUAGAUUCGAGUCCAAAAUGGGUCGAAACAUGUAAAUCCAUGUCCGAUCCAUUUAUAGUGUAGAUAAAAAAUGGAUAUGGAUUAAGUCUAAGUAAAUGAACCUAUUACCUAUUCCGAAUACAAAAUAAAAAAAUAAAUAGGGUCUACAUCCAAUCCAAAUCUAAACCUAAUCCGUUGACAGUCCUAUGCUAGACGUUUAUCCUUUGGGCAUGGAGUGCUGAUUAAUAUUUUGUAGCAAUUUAUUUAAAACUUUUCUUUUUUAGAUUUUCAAAAAAAAAAAAAUACUCCAAGGGGAAGAAAUGGGAGCAAAAAGGGAGAUUGGUGACGCAUUUUCUCCGGGAUCCACCAGAUUUCUUGUGUAGCUCAGCUUAAAAUUGUUGCUGUGAGAUGUGACAUUUGGCCUCAAAUCAACCUAAAAAGAAAAGGGAAUGGUGAAUUGAAUAAAAUGAUCAUUGGACAAUUAUUCUAGAGUACUACUAGUAAACAAAGAUGGUUGAAUAUUGGGCUACAUCUAAUUUUCCUACAGAUUUGGAGCAAAUUAACCAAUUCAUUUUUUGGUAAGAUGGCCAGCGAAAAGGGUUUUAAAUCCCUUUCUGGGCUUUCUGCUUGGAUUAGGAAAGAAGUUUAACAGGGCAGUCUUAUCCUUUUAGCCACUUGAAUAACUCAGUUGGAGUCCACAAGAGUUUUCCAUGAUUACAGCUCAAAGCUGCAGAGUUACUAGAGACUGUUCAAGAAUGAAACAGACAUUUUUACAAACUAAAUAAAGACUAAUAUCUUCUGAUUCGAUGAUUUACAGCAGAAUAUGUCAAUAAAGCAACCAGAGUUGACCAUAUCUUUUAAUCAAUUUCGACAACCCAGCCCCUAUUAUCCUCGACAGCACCACUUUGAAUUCCUACGAGCCUCGAGUAAAGUUU